rnacentral:lncRNA from 1 species
AAGUAGAACUUCAACUGAGCAGCCCUUUUGGCGGAGCUGAACCUGACAACAGGUGCCCUGGUCAUGCCAUCACGGAGGAGCACCGCGGAAGCACCACCGGAAACGUAAAUAGCCUUGCAGCCUCUGUUGGUGCUCGCCACCAGACAACCCUCCGUGGUGGCCAUGGGGACGGUGUACUCUUUCCCGUCGAGUAACAGCGGCCCUGCCACCCCAACCGGAAUCUGAAUGAACCCAAUCGGCAUCUCACAGCACUGCCCCAAUAUCGACUCAUAAUCAAACCCUUCCACCGGUAAACCCUCCAGCGACCUCCCCACCACCCUCUCCACCGCCUCGUGACGAAUCACCGCCGCCCGCCGGCAAUCCCCGAGCUUCGUUUCCAGCGAGUACGACGGGAUUGACCCCGACACCACCUCCCGGAUAACCUCCUCGUCCUCCGAGGACAGAGUAGUUGUUGUCGCCGUCGGCGACGGAGGUGAGAGGGAUUUGCCGUUGCCGUUGGCGAUUUUGAGCGGCGGCGGGGGGAGAUUGUUGAGGCAGGGGGAAAUGUCGGCGACGAGUUCUUCUUCGUCGUCGUCUUCACCGGGGACGGGGCGGGAAGCGGCGAAGGGGUGGAGGAUGAAGCCAAUGCCGAAGAAGGAGGUGAGGUAGAUGACGGAAGCGAAGAGGGAGAGGAUGGCGGCGAUCUCGGAAACCGUGACGAAGUGGAGAGGGGUGGAGGUGCGGAUCUUCUCGCGCCAACGGUGGAGGAGGAAGUAGGCGACGGAGAAGAAGAGAGUGAAGAAGACGGUGUUGGUGACGUACAGAGAUGUCUGUGAUUCAUUCUUCUUCAUUUUUGGGUGUUUGGCGGCGGGAGGUGGACGCACGACGGCGGCGUUGGUGGGUCGCCGGCGAACGUCCAUUUCUCUCCCUGGGUGGAAAAUGGAAGGAAAGAAAAAGAAGAGAAGUUAGAGUAUUGUUACUAGUUUCUAUUAUUGAUAUAGAUUUGAGCGAGUGUUUAGGGGGAAAAUGGAGAGAAAAGAAGAGUGAGAGAGAGGGUGAUUGGAUGGAAAGAAAAGGUUUAGAAGGAUUUUUAUAGAAAGGGAGGGAGGGGGCAUUGGCGGGAGGGAGGGACCUCUCAGUCUCAGCUCAGCAAAUUGCCCACGCGUACGGCGUGCAACUCAUUUCUCACUACUAGUUGUAUUUCUCUAUAACCCCAUUUUCAAAUUUAUCUUCAUAUUAUAUUAUAUUAUAUAGAGUAUUUCUAUUUAUUAUCUUACCUCAAUUUUAUUAAUUUUUUCUUUAAUCUAAUUUAGCAUUGUGGGACUCGCCUAUUAACAUAGCUUAUUGUCACAUAGACUUUGCACAUAAGAGGCACAUGAUUAUCUUCCUCCUUCUCUCCACCCUUUCUUCUUGUCGGAUCAUAGUGGUAGCAUGGAAGUAUCUUGUGUUUCUAUCUCCAUACUUAAACUAAGUAAUAUUGGACUUUUUCUUCCAAAGCAUUUCUUCUUGUAUGAUGGUUAGGUGAUAUUCCUUCCACUAUCCUAUCUGGAUAUUCUCAAGAUACAUGAUUGACUGCAUUCUCUUCGUAGCAUUUAUACCUCCAUCCUCCUCAUUAGUUUCCUUAACAUGCGUCCAAUCUCUCAAAAAAACUCAAGGUUCAAAGUCGAGCACCUUUCCUGAAAGUGUUUAAAGCUGAGAGCCAAUCACCCUCAUCGGGCCAUGGUACCUGCACCACCUUGGGGAAACUGUCAUCAAUCAACCAGCAAGAGAGGAACCAUAAAGGGUGUUGAGAAGGAUCCCCACCCCCACGCGGAAGGAGAAAGCAAAAGGAGUUUGUGAUUCGACUUGAAUUGAGGAGGGUGUAACAUCGAUGACCUUGGGAAUGCCUCCAACCAGAGGCCCUCACGCGAUGAUAAGGGGGGCCACGUUAACAUGUGUUUGUCUCUACUAAAGCACGUGUCUUGUGGUUAUUGGCUUAGUAUGCCUCCAUAGAAGCCCCCACGCGCUGAUAAUGGGGUGCCACAUUAACAUGUACCUGAAAAAACAACCCGUGUCUGCCCCUUGCCAUGUUGACACAAUAACUUUUCAUCAAUAGGUUUAACCGUUGGCCUAGGAAUCAUAACCGCAGAUACCAAAUCUGUUGGAGAGGAUCCCACAAAAUCUUCAUUCCUACCUUUAUCUGCAUUAAUGCCAUCAAUGUACUUCUAAUAACUCCAUUUCCCACCGUUUCCUCCCUCGACCCAUUAUGGUGCACCGUUUUUCUUGCCAUAAAUUUCACUCCCUCAAUGAUUGCUUCAUCAUUGUUCGGUCGCACAUUGAUUAUUGGCUCAUUGACAUUCUGUUCUAGAAGGGUAACGACUCUAUCCCUCAUCAUUGACUCAUUAUCACCCAUCACUGCAACUUUAAUUUCUUGGGGACUUCCUCUCGUAUCCAUUCCUUCCAAUAUGGAAAACCUGGACCUACCUGUCCCAUUCGUUGAAUUAUCUUCGCCGCCACUGGACCAACGAGCUAUCAUUUAAGGUCCAAAUUUUUCUUUGGUGUUCUCCGACGAUCUUUGGGCCUUUGAUAUUUCCACUUGAGGCUACACAUGGAUCUCCUUCCCUAGUGGACACACGUCCAAUCUAUGGCCAACACGACCACAAUUGGAGCAAAUUAGAUUCAAACCCUCGUACUCGAUCUUAUAGUCCUUGUCAUUGAGGGAGAACAUAGAGACCACGGUCUUUCGCAUAUCCACCUCCACGCAUAGUCGGGCGAACUUCGCUCUCUUUGUUGCCUCUCAUGCGUGCAACGUCCAGCCCUAGCCUUCAAGGUAUUCUCGUCGAUCCUGAACAAUCUCCAUAUUGCCUCCCCUAAAUCGUGUAGCACUUCAUCAUUGUAAUACCCAACACAAAAAUGGGGGACUCUAAUACACACUUCCACUCGAUUAAGCUACCCCUCCUUCAAAAUGAACUCCAUAUGCCAUUGUUGUAUCACCAGGUAAUCCCCAUGAUCACCCAUGGCCCUCCCGAGAAGACAUGAGCAUAAUCAUCCUUGUUUACAAGUUGUACAAUGAAGAAGUAAAAGUCCAGAUCAAUCUCCUCCAUCUCCCCAGACGGCUGCCACAACCUUGCUAGUCUCGUCCUCAGUAGGUUCAGUCCAAUCUGCUUUCCCAGUAACUUGACAACCACUAAGUUCCUCUAGGGUUUGCAUAGUUCCCUUCGUUUCUCCCGGGAUACCUCAAUCAUUAUACACAAAGGGUUAUGAACCCUAUGCUCUUUCUCUUCUCCCUUGAUCCUCCUCGUCUAACCAAAAAAAUGUUAUCGUAUGAGUCAAGCAAACCCCUCCCCUUUUUCCAUUCCCUGCACCCCCCCUCUCCUUGCACUUGCUCCUCUUGGGCCAUCCGUCGUCCUCACCACCACCUUGUGCAACAGAAGAAGUCAUUAGAAAAAAUAUCUGAUUGAAUUAAUUGAUGGACACAAUGGGGUCGCUAACAAAAGAUAAACUAAUUGAAGAAAAAAAAAUCCUAAUGAACUCUUCUUUUAGAAGCAAAAAUAGUAAACACAUCAUGAUGAGUGGUCUCCCAAAAUAAAAACUGACUUCGUUGUUCAUGAACCUUCUUUGUCAAUUUAUCUGCCACCUUUGAAACUUUGAGAUGCAUGAAUCAACGAACCUCUCAAUCCAGGUGAAAGAAGUUGAAGGAUUGCAACCAUCUUUGGACUAAAAAUCGGAAUCGCACCUACAUCGCCAUUACGGAGGCCAACAACCUUCGAACAAUCAGACUCGCAUUGAACCUUCUUAAACAUUUAUGCCAACAAAGUGAUAGACUAUGUUUUAUGGCCAUAAUAUCCGCAAGGGAACAUCUCCAUCACCCACUGAAAAAACAAACCUAAAGAGUCAGGAUCCAUGAGUGUGUCCUUCGCAACUCCACUACUAGAGAGUCACCCACUGUGUCAUUUGUAUCCAAAUUAACCCAUUGAGCUGAUAGGGGAUCAGACUAGAUAUAAAUGAUAUUAGUUCGCUCUAAAAGUAUCAAGAAUAACGCACAGCCAGAAGAUUCAAGUCCGAAGAUCAACAUGUUAUUCCUUUGGAUGAAAUUAAAAAGUAUUUAUUGAAAUUUAGUUAGUACAACUUUUAGUAAAUAACCUUAAAUAAAUGUGUGUCCAAAUAUGCUCAAUCUACAUGAGAAUGGAACUUAUUAAAAGAAAUGGCAUAUCCUAAAACUAUAUAGUCGCAAAGGAAAAUCCGCUCUUCCAAUAUUGACUCGAGUCAAGGGAUAUAUAGUGGGUUUCUAUUUUCUAUAGACUUAUAAUAAAUGAAUAGUUGCGUUUACUCCACUGUUAUUAUUCCGAUUAAAGUCUAAAUUUGAAAGUGACUUCACGGGUAGAAUGUGACAAUAAUGAUAUGAUAAGCAUUUUGUAUACUUAAUUUAUUGUUAAUUACAUAUAUAAGAUUUGAAUUUUAUAUAAAAUGAAUUUCUUUUACAUUGGAAAAGAUAAAUUAUAUACCCUUUAAGAAUUGACUUCUGGAUAUUUCCAUCAUUAACUCAUAUGUUCUCAGCUCUUACCUUAAACUAUUAUUCGGCGACUAAGAAGUAGUUUCUUAAUUUAAUAUGUAUAUAUUUUUUUGUAAGUGAUAUAUUUCUACGCAAUCUCAUUUGAGUUAAAAAAAUCUAUAUCAUUAUGAAGCUAGUUGUCGAGAGAAAUUUCAUGUUUUUCAAUCAUGUGUUACCCAUUGGCACGGGCACAAAGCAAUUUUAUCGACUAAUAUGUUGACUUUCAUUAUCAGCAUCAGUGAAAUUCCAAUAACUAUAACAAGAGGGCCAUUUUUUCACAAGUUCUCUAAUUGACCUUUGAAAAAUGGGGUAAAUCAUCAUAAUUUUAGAUGGAUCUAUAAGAUAAGUGUGCUAAAAAUUUUUCUAUCUUAAAUAUCAUUUGAUCUACUUAGGGCUAAAGUGAUGAUUCAAUCUAAAUUUUCCAUUGGUCAUUUAGAUCCAAACUCUUUUUCCACAUAUGAAAUUUCUUUUUCCCACUUAUUACCGGAUUAAUUGAAUUGGUUAGCUAGUUUGAGACUUCCACUUUCUUUAAUGGAACCUCUAAUUAACUCCAUGAAGUUAUUCUUUGAUCGAGUUGGAAUUACACAAUAUUUUAUUUGAAUAUUUAUAAAUAAAUAAUACUAUUAUUCUAUACUCUGGAGUCUGGAGUUAUAUAAUAUAGGGUUAAUCCUCUAAUUGGUCCCUGUGGUUGUGUGGCCGUCUGAAAUUAGUCCCUCCCGUAAAAUCUAAGUCCUCGUGUUUGAAAAAGUGUGUGUAGCAGGUCCUCGCCGGAGGGACUAAUUUCCACACACUUUCCAAACACGAGGACUUAGAUUUUACGGGAGGGACUAAUUUCAGACGGCCACACAAACACAGGGACUAAUUAGAGGAUUAACCCUAUAAUAUAAGGUAAUUUAGACGAUUCCUUACCAAGCGUGGAUUCUUACUGAUUUAUAUUGGUGUUGCUGCGGCGAGCUCAUAGUCUUUUGUGUCCUCCAUAUUUGCGAGCCUCAGCGAGGGAGAGCUUGCAUCUUCCAUCUUCCUAGAGUCCUCCAUCAAAGGGGAUCGUUAAGAUCAAUUUUGAUGCCUCAAUGACUGAUAUGCAUAUUGCGGGCUUUGGUUUCAUAGCAAGGGAUCAUGAAGGUGAGGUUUUAGUUGCAUCCACGGCUUCCUCAUUUAAUGUCCUUUCACCAGUGUUAGCGAAUGCUUUGUGUUUGAGAUGAAUUAUAUUGUGUCCUUGGCUACAUAUUUAGGUUUUAGGUGGUUGUGUUUUGAGAUGAAUUGUUAGCAAAUUUUUAACCUUGGGUGCAAACUACAAUUGGUAGAUCUCAUUUUUUCUCAGUUAUUCGCGAUUGUUGCGAACUCGCUCUUAGUUUUAAUGUUAUGAAUGUCUCAUUUGUCCGCAGAUCGAGGUGGCAACGGUACCCCAAUUCCCUAGUUAGGAAUAUGCUUUUAUUUAUUUGUAAUUCAGUUUAGAUUGAGGAGAUUCCUCCCGGUAAUUUUAUCUUUGAUUAACCAUGAUUUACUGACUUCCAUCUGUUUCUUCAGUCUGAGAAAAAAAAAAAACAGGUAUCCCACUCAAUCUAGCUUCUUGUUGGUCUCACCUUUAAUAGAUUUUGUGUAUGAUGUUCUGAGAUGCAUCGGAUUAGCCAAUUUGACCAGCAUUAUCGGUGAUUAUAACAUUAAUCAUGUGCUCAUCCUAUCAUAUUAAUUGCCGCUAACUUAGCCACACCAAACACAUGCAUACUAGCAACCAUCUUUUUUUUGGUGACUUGUUAUAAAUUCGUCAUUCGACUGUGACGUAAAUGUUUACGAACUAUAUAUAUCCUAUAUAAUAUAUAGUUCACAUCCUAUAUAUAGUUCACCAGAAAAUGACAACCGCAUAUUAAUUGUACACUAACAUAACACCAUGAUGAUUUGUAAUUCCAGACAGAACAAUUGCAGCACUGCAAGUACCUUAAUUACAUGGUAUUCUUGACCGCAUGAUCAUGAUUCAUUCACAAUCACUUUUCACGCACUUUUCCAAUUUCUUUCAAUUUUUUUUCUCUUUUUCAAAAUUACUUUCACACCUCUCUUUAUUUUCUCUCAUCAAAAUACUGGUGUGAAAAAAAAUCCUUAAACAUGUAUAUGUUCAUAUCGUUGUCUCGCAAAUUUUAAUGAAUCCUUAAACAUGUAUAUAUUCAUGUCGUUGUCUCGCAAAUUUUAAUGAGUCGUUCAAAUUAAUUAAGGUAAUUAUUACUUUCAUGCUAUCAAAUACUCUACUAAACAUUUAAUCAAAACAAAAUUAAUGCAUAUAGUUUUGGUAUAAGAUUGUAGUGUUAAGGAGAGGCAAUUCCAAGCUCAUCAGUGGCGAGUAACACCCCAGACACAUGAGGGCCAUGCGAGGAUUCUCUUGGGGGGCGGGGGGCAACCCCUUCAUACCAAGCCAAAGCUUGGUGAUUAUUUUCUCGUGUAACGAGUGAUAUAUACUUUUAUUUUGAGAGCAACUUGACCUUUGUUGGCAAGCGACGUACUAUUCUAUAGGGGUGGGGAGGCAACCCCUUCAUACCAAGCCAAAGCUUUCUUUGGUUGGUGAUUAUUUUCUCAUGUAGCGAGUGAUAUAUACUUUUAUUUUGAGAGCAACUUGACCUUUGUUGGGCAAGUGACGUACUAUUCUAUAGCGUAUAUGUACAUUUGGACCGCAUUUUUGUAAAGCUCAAAUCUUAAGAGUAAUCGUGUUUAGGGUUUUACCUAUUCUACAGGGGGGAGGCAACCCCUUCAUACCAAGCCAAAGCUUUCUUUGGUUGGUGAUUAUUUUCUCGUGUAGCGAGUGAUAUAUACUUUUAUUUUGAGAGCAAUUUGACCUUUGUUGGGCAAGCGACGUACUAUUCUAUAGCGUAUAUGUACAUUUGGACCGCAUUUUUGUAAAGCUCAAAUUUUAAGAGUAAUCGUGUUUAGGGUUUUACUUUUUCUACAUAAAAGGAAAAAGAUCAGUAUAAUAAAGCAUGUUCGCUUGAUAUACUAAAACGAAGGCUGCAGCUAGACCUAAAACCCUAAAUAUAUAAGUGUUUAAGCUUGGUCACCUUCUUCAUUUACUUGACAUGUGUAUGAGUAGAGAUGAAUGCAUAACAUUAACACCCGUUCAUCUUCCUUUAAUUGUUUUGUUUUAGUUUCUUUUUUCUAAAAAAUCAUCUUACAUCUGUUUGGAAAACUAAUCAAUCAUGUUUAAUUUUCAUAUAUCUUGAUCCUCAUCGUGCUAUGUAGCAAUACUCAAUGAAAAUAGUAGUAUGUGGCCAACACCCAGAAGCUCUACCAAAUUUCCAAUAAUAGACAAUAACUUUUACCAAAGUCCUGUUAAUAUAACGCGUUUAGUUCCAUCAUUCACCAUCAAUUUGAUGAUUUCUCGUUUGAAUUGAACAUAAAUAACAUUGAAUUAAUACAACCUCCAUAUGUCUCCACCAAGCAACCAGGUGAUCUAACUAAUCGUUAAAAUGUCCACAUCUUAAUUAAGUCUUUGCUUUGUCUUGUCAGUUAGCUAGCUAGCAUCCUUAAGCCUCAUCCUGUUCAGCUAGACAACCUCUUUUUUUUUUCUUUCUUACAAAGUAUAUAAUCACACCAACUUCUGCAAAUAAGAAUUAGAAAAUUCAACAUGCAUGCGGCAUACAUUUGGGGCAUUGAUUCACAUUCAUCAUUGUCGAGUCACUCACUUUUGUAACAGUUUUACACGGUCACAAAAUGUAAAAUUUAAAAAAUAAACAUAAAAAUGCGACUUGUGGUGGUCUAUAUGUCAAAAAGAAAACUCCAGCAAAUACAAAUUAUGAUAGCAGCACACAAAAUACUAUGGGCAGAGCCCUUUCACACAAUCAUGACUUAUAAGAGGUUAGUAAUGAAUAGUAAUCAACGUGGUGCACGCAUAGGUUACGUGUAUUGACUUUUGAUACGGUCAAUAAAUUAGAGCAUAUAUAUUUAGUAUGAAAAUUGAAAAACUAGUAAUGGCGAAAACAACAAACUAGCCCUUCGUAGAUUAUGCCAAAGAAGCAAUGAAGAGUAGAAUAUAACAAUAACAAGUCGGUGUUGCGUCGUUAUGGAUGUGAUUAUGGGAUUAUUUCUAUUUCUAUGAAUUAAAGCUUUGGAAUUUUGAUGGAUUAAGCAUUUUUUUCCCUUUACAACCGAUCUUAUCUUGUGGAGUGCAAGCAAGCUUUGAGAAUUAUGUAUAUUCAUUUAAUAGCCCUUUAAUUCGUAGGUAGAUAGGUAAGGUAGCCUUAUUAAUUAAUUAUGUGAGAAUGAAUCAGGGAAAAUACAUGAACCACUAAAAAUGUCAUAACACUCAUUUUUGUGACAAUUUUUAAUAGUUACGAAGAGGAAAAUUUGAAAAAAAAAAUACCAGAAAACAUGUUUUGUUGCACCCGGCUAGGUAUUGAUGGUGUUUUACGAUGAUUCAUUAUUUAUAUUGGGUUAAAAUAUCCCUUAUACUUCAUUCAAUAUUAUAUCUUCAUAUUGCUUAUAAAAAAACGAUGGUUCAAUAACUAUAUCCGCAUGAAAUGUGAGAAAUUAAAGAUCAUAACCUGAACUUUAAGUGUACGUACUAGGUAAAGACUUUAUACUUGUAAUCAGUGGCGGAUGUAGCUUAGAGUGAGGGGGUUCAAUUGAACCCCCUGGAAAAAAAAAUUGCACAUAACCCCCCUAGCUAUAAUAAUUAUUUACCCUAUAUAAUAUUUUUUUGAACCCCCUGAAAAUUUUAAAUUAUACUAGUAAACCAAGUUUUGCACCUAUUUGCAUAAAAAAUUCACCUAUUUGCACAACUAUGACUUGUAUAAUUUCUGAUGUAUAAAAUAUGUUAAAGUUUUUUUAAUUAUAUUUUUACCGAUGUGUUCAUUUAAAAAAUUUGAACCCCCUGACCCCGGGUCCUAGAUCCGCCACUGCUUGUAAUUAAUCGUCAGAGGUUUGAUUUUAAAGUUUCUUAUAAAAUUAAGGAUGUCAUUUGACGUUAACAAGUGAACGAUAGCCUCCUUAUUUUUUUGCACGAAUUACAAAAAUUGUUUUUGUUUUGUCAACAUGCAAAAAUAAUAAUUGGUCCAGACUGCGAUUUGUUUUUUGUUGACGAUCAACAUGCAAAAUGUUUUUGGUCAAUAUGCAAAUUUAAUAGUCAAUUUCAUUGAGUAAUCAGCUGAUCUUCAUCACCAGAUCCUGCCUUUGUCCCAACCUCCAACCUCCACCGCCGCCUUCCUCUGUCCUGCUGCCGAUCCCCUUGCGACCUUGGCCGGAUUGCACCGCCGUUGUCACCUCCAUCCUUUUCUGCCCUGCCGCUUCCACUGUCCCUGCUGCUCUUAUUGCUGUUAUGUUUGGGAUCUGCAAAAGUUUGCUCUUCUCCCCUGUUUUCAGAUAGCUAGUUUGGCCCCUAUGGAUGCUGUUGAAGUCUCUCAUGUUAGGCUUCUCGGAUAACAGCACUUUUGCAACCCCGACAGAGUCGAUGGUGUUGUUUCUCAGGGAGCACUGGUUAAAAACGGAUUUAUUUUCUCUGCUCAGAAGCCUUUUAGCUUUAUGUUAAUUUAGGGUGAUUAGGAGCUUUUGUAUGACCUUAAGGGUUUUUACUUCAUGACUUAUGCUGAUUGAUUCAACAGAGCGUGCAUGUUUGAUCUUCAUGGUCUUAUGUUUUUGUACAUUGCUAAUAGCACUCCCUGAGAUAUAAUCUCACAUGUUGUAAGUGCCGUUUGGCAAUCCUUCGGGUUUUAAUUCCAAACAUUAUUGACAAAAAAAAAGUACAUGGGUUGAACAUCGUGAUAGUGUUCCUCUACCAAAAAAAAAUCAUUGUGAAAGUGUUGGGCUUGUCAGAAAAGAAACCCAAUAACAUCAAAAAUCCUAAAAAUUUAAAAAGUGAACUUUGUUUCACUAAUAUAGCCACACAUUUGUGAUCCAAAUACAGGUUGAUACGACUGGAACAAAUAACCAAACUUUUGAUCAAUGGUUUUUUUCCAUGGUUACGCGCUUGACCCAACUUGGAGAGCCCCUCACCAAUGGCCUCUGCUCCUUAGCCCACACAAUCUGGAAAGUCUGGAAAGAGCGCAAUGAGUGUAUUUUCAACAGACGCUCCCCUGACCCUAUUGCCACCCUCACAAAAAUCAAUCUUGUCCUGAGUGAGCCCUCCGAAGCCAACGUAGUCAUCGCCCCUCCACUUAUCAGAGCUAAUCGAUAGGAAGGUACACGGUGGUCCCCUCCAUGCCCAGGGCAACUGAAGCUUAAUGUCGAUGCCGCCUUCAAACAACAAACAAAGCAUGGUGCUAUAGCAGUGGUGACUCGGGAUGAGACAGGUAAUAUAGUGCUUACUCACACGAAGAGGAUUAUUGCAACCUCACCGAUAGCAGCUGAAGCUCUGGCCGUUAGGGAGGCACUAAUCAUGGCUCACAAUUUGAACAUGGAGAGGGUCAUCAUUGAAUCAGACAACCAGGGCUUAGUCAAUAUGAUCCAGGAUAGGCGGUCAUAGUGGGAGCUUGCUCCAAUUCUAUGGGACAUUCAACGCAUGCACAACAUCAACAUGGUUGAUUGCUUGGGAAUUCGAUGGACACCGAGGGAGGGGAACGACCAUGCCCACAACCUAGCUAAAGCUGCCGCUACAAGAAUUGGAAUGGUUUGGGUCAGAAGAGUCUAGGCGAUACACUCUAUGCUUCCCCCUCUUGGGUUUAGUUCUUAUGCCUUGGGUAUUCUUGUUUCCACUUGGGCUAGCAAUUGUUCUUAAUUUCCUUAAUGUGUUGUAAUUGCUCUUAAUGGUCCUUGUGUGGGGCUUGUCCCCUUUGUCUCUUUGUAAGGGUUUCCCCUUCCAAUUAAUGAUAUUCAGUAUCCUUUGACGAAAUAUAUAUAUAUAGCCACACAUUUUGCAACUCUAAUCGAGUAGGAUGAGUUAUGUUGAUAGAAGAUUAGAAGUGUAGUGUAAAAAUGAUGACAAAAUUCUUUCUGCUCGGAAGUCCCAUAGGUUUAGUUUCUAUGUUAAUUUUGUGGUUUUUGGGAACAUUAAGUCGUAAAUGUUGUUUGACAACACGACUUUGAGUAUUUAUUUCAAACAUGAAAAAAAAUUGAUUUUGUUGAAUAGAAUCCAUAUCUUAUUAUACUACUGGUGGAGAAUUACUUAUAUAUAGAUCAUGAUUCUUUUCUAAGCUGAAUUCAAGCCAAAAGAGGGAUCAUCCCAUCACUAAUUCACUAUCAAUAUUGUCUACACGGAUCUAUCUAUACUAGUAACUAAAAAACAAAAAUAUAAAAAUUAAAAUGGAGAAAAGUACAAUUGUAAGAGUGAACCAAUGGAAAGCUAGAAUUAGAAUUUAGGAUGACAGGUAGAUAGAAAGUGAGAAUGAGUAAAAGGAUUUUCAGCAUGAAUUUGCAGUGCCAGUCAUGCCUAUACACACAAGAUAAAAUCCUAACACCAAUAAUAAUAAUUUGAAUAUAUAACUAGUGUUUUUUACCCGCGCGUUGCACGGGAAAUAUGUCUAUUGUAUUUGAUACAUUAAUUAAUACUUUGAUUAUUAAAAAUAUAUUAAGCAACGAAUGAAAUAGAAAAGUCAGAAUUGAUGAGUAAAGUUAACAUAAAAAUUUCUCUUCUAAGCCAAAUUGAGACCAAGAGGAACUCGUUUCACAUUCUUCAUAAAUAUGAAGACGAUAACACAAAUCAUAGAUAUAAGGAAUUAUCAACAUAUUAAUCUUUAAAAAAAUUAAUGUGAUGGUAGCACAAAUCAGGAUUGUGUAAGAUAUUUCAUAAAGUAUAACAUUAUUGUGUUUAUUCCAACUAAGUAGGGAUGACAAUGGGUAGGUACUAUAGUACCAUCUCCAUACCCGCGUUUUUAAAAAUCACAUGUACCCGUGUCCAUAUUCACGUGGGUAGCAACUCGAAACUCUCCACCAUUAGACAAUUCAAUGUCAUUACAUGAAGCUAUCCAUCUUUGUCAAAAUCUAAAUCUAUGGAUGACAAUGAGUCUCAAAAUCAUAGGGUACCCGCAAAAAAUAUCCACUAUGGGUAGGGUAAAAAACCGCUAAAUGAGUAUGAGGUUGAGUAUAGAUAAUUACCCGCAAAAAAUAGUGGGUAUGGGUGCAGGUAUGGGCACUAUAGUACCCAACCGGCCCAUAUCCGCACACAUAUGUUAUCAUUAUUAUUAUUAUUAUUAUUAUUAUUAUUAUUAUUUGGGAAUAUAUUAAAAAAUUAACUUAAGCUAUAGCUUUCAAACUCACUCUUUUUAAAAAAAAGUUUGGGAUAUAUUAAUUAAUACUAUAAAAAUAAAUAAUAAAUAAAUUAAGAUAAAAUCAAGAAAUAAACCACCUAAAUCCUAAUCAAAUCUAAAAUUUAAAAAUGUAUAUUUUUUUACUCUAAAAAUAAAUCAAAAAUAAAUUAAGAUAAAAUCAAGAAAUAAACAACAUAAAACCUAAUCAAAUCUAAAAUUAUAAAAUGUAUUUUUUUAUGAGAAUUAAUCUGAGAAUGACACGUGUUAUUUUUUUCUUUCCAAUUAGUGAAUAUUCUGCACCCUAGAAGAUUUUAUUUUCCUCAAUCCUUUUGCUUUUGAUUAAGAAGAGAAAAGCAGGAAUCCUUGAAGCAUAUGACAUCUUACAAUUAGUUGAAGAACAAAAUCAAUUCAUGAAGAAGAUUGAAAUAGAAACCCAAAAUGAAGUCUUGAAGAACAAAAUGCCCUCCUUCACCAAUUUGAAAGGACUGUGGUGAAAGAAUUGUAUUUGGUGUAUUUGUGAAUCUUGGGGUGGAACCCUUGUGAAACAAAAAAUCAAAGACACAUUUCAGUCAAGAGAAACAAAAAAUGGUGUAUUGCCCCAUAUGUGCGCACCCCAACAAAUUAUCUAUAUAUGUGAGGAAAAAACAAAAUAAUUCUCCCACCCAAAAUAAUUGUGGUUACUUCACCAAUAAACUUAUACUAACAAUCAAUUUAAAUUGAACUUAAGGAAAUAUAUAGAGCAAAGUAAGAUAAGUCACCCAAUUGGCAUACUAAAACAUGAGUAUAUGCAAAACUAAUGAGUUUGAGGAAAGCAUGAACCAACCUUAAGAAUGGGCUAAACAUACUCAUGAAGAGUAAAUGUGAGCUCUUCAUAUGCUUUCAUCAAUUUGACUGACCUGUGCAUCAUUAAAAAAAAUAGUAAGUUGUGCAUCAUUCACAUACAAUGCAAAUAGUAUGCUUAUACACACAACUCAAACAUGAUGAAUAAAAACAGACAAAAUUUGAGAAAUGAAUAUAAAUUCAGGCUAUCCUAAGUUUCGUUAAUUUCUAUAAAUUAUACCAAAAUCUGGUUUAGAAUGGCUUCACACGCAUGGAUUUCUACAAACUAUACUAAAAUCUGGUUUAAAAAAAUACAAAAGCGGAAGAAGAACAAUAGAAAAAACAUUACAUCAGAAUCAAAACAUUACAUCUUCAACAAUGAUUCGUUAAAGGGUCUAUGCAAAAAUUUGUAAACUUUUGGAUCAAAACACACAAAAUAUGUGAAAUUUAAGAAUCCAGGAUUGAAUUACGAACAAAGGAUAAACUGAAAUGACACAAACCAUCAAGCACAACAUGAUAAACUCUUCUUCACGUAACAUCAUCUUACGACAUACCUCUGUCCUGAUCGCGACAUGUGGCAGAGGUAGAAAUAACAGCUAUCAAAUCUCUGCGUGUCCAUGGUAGCUUUGUGGACCCUCAGCACCAAAUCAACUCUCUUUUCUUAGAAUUAGCAUUAAAUAAAUAAUAAGAUAAAUUAAGAUAAAAUCAAGAAAUAAACAACCUAAAUCCUAAUCAAAUCUAAACUUUAAAAAUGUACUAAAUAAAGAUAGAUAAAAACUACCAAAAUCUAGUAAAUCACAAUAAAAAACUCAUAAAAUCCCGAAUUAAAUAAAAAUAUGAAAAUUCAAUAAAAAUACCAUAAAAAUUCAUUUAUACUCUAAAAAUAACUCAAAAAUAAAAUUAAAUAUUUCAUGAAAUUAAAAUUAAAUAAAUAAUAAAUAAUGAUAGAUAAAAACUAUCAAAAUCUAGCAAAUCACAAUAAAAACUCAUAAAAUUCUGCAUUAAUUAAAAAUCCGAAAAAUUCAAUUAAAAUUAAUUAUUAUACUCUAUAAAUAAAUGUAAAAUAAAAUAAAAUAUUUCCUGUAAGUAAAAUUAAAUAAAUAAUAAGAUAAAAUUAAGAAAUAAACAACUUAAAUCCUAAUCAAAUCUAAAAUUUAAAAAGGUACUAAAUAAAGAUAGAUAAAAACUACCAAGUCUAGCAAAUCACAAUAAAAACUCAUAAAAUCCUGAAUUAAUUAAAAAUCCGAAAAUUUAAGAAAAUUUAAUUAAUAUACUCUAAAAGUGAAUCUAAAAUAAAAUAAAGUAUUUCCUGGAUUUAAAAUAAAAUAAAUAAUAAGAUAAAUUAAAAUAAAAUUAAGAAAUAAACAACCUAAAUCUCAAUCAAAUCUAAUAUUAAAAAAGGUAUUAAAUAAAGAUAGAUAAAAACUAACAAAAUCUAGCAAAUCACAAUAAAAACUCAUAAAAUCCCGAAUUAAUAAAAAAUUCGAAAAUUCAAUAAAAAUUAAUCAAUAUAUUCUAAAAAUAAAUUAAAAGACCAAAUCUUAUCUUUUAAAAUAAUAUCAAUCAAUUAUUUUAGAAUAUAUAAAAUUAAAACAUAUAUCAAUUGAAAAUUGACACAUGGAAUAAUUUUUAUGAGAAUUAAUCUGGUGCUGACACGUCACUAAGAAUUAAUCUGGUGCUGACACGUCACUAUGAAAGUUCUUCUUUUCUAAUAUACUAGUGUUUUUUACCCGCGCGUUGCACGGGAAAUAUGUAUAUUGUAUUUGAUACAUUAAUUAAUACUUUGAUUAUUAAAAAUAUAUUAAACAACGAAUGAAAUAGAAAAGUCAGAAUUGAUGAGUAAAGUGGAGAUAAAGACUUCUCUUCUAAGCCCGAUUGAGACCAAGAGGAACUCGUUUCACAUUCUUCGUAAAUAUGAAGACGAUAACAGAAAUCAUAGAUAUAAGGAAUUAUCAACAUAUUAAUCUUAAAAAAAAAAUUAAUGUGAUAGUAGCACAAAUCAUGAUUGUGUAAGAUAUAUCAUAAAGUAUAACAUUAUUGUGUUUAUUCCAACUAUGUAGGGAUGACAAUGGGUAGGUACUAUAGUAACAUCUCCAUACCCGCGUUUUUAAAAAUUACAUGUACCCGUCUCCAUACUCACGUGGGUAGCAACUCGAAGCUCUCCACCUUUAGACAAUUCAAUGUCAUUACAUGAAGCUAUCAAUCUUUGCCAAAAUCUAAAUCUAUGGAUGACAAUGGGUCUCAAAAUCAUAGGGUACCCGCAAAAAAUACCUACUAUGGGUAGGGUAAAAAACCGCUAAAUGAGUAUGAAGUUGAGUAUAGAUAAUUACCCGCAAAUUAAAAAUAGUGGGUAUGGGUGCGGGUAUGGGCACUAUAGUACCCAACCGGCCCAUAUCCGCACACAUAUGUUAUUAUUAUUAUUAUUAUUAUUAUUAUUAUUAUUAUUUGGGAAUAUAUUAACAAAUUAACUUAAGCUAUAGCUUUCAAACUCACUAUUUUUUAAAAAAAGUUUGGGAUAUAUUAAUUAAUACUCUAAAAAUAAAUAAUAAAUAAAUUAAGAUAAAAUCAAGAAAUAAACCACCUAAAUCCUAAUCAAAUCUAAAAUUUAAAAAUGUAUAUUUUUUUACUCUAAAAUAAAUCAAAAAUAAAUUAAGAUAAAAUCAAGAAAUAAACAACAUAAAUCCUAAUCAAAUCUAAAAUUUUAAAAUGUUUUUUUUUAUGAGAAUUAAUCUGAGAAUGACACGUGUUAUUUUUUUUUUCCAAUUAGUGAAUAUUCUGCACCCUAGAAGAUUUUCUUUUCCCCAAUCCUUUUGCUUUUGAUUAAGAAGAGAAAAGCAGGAAUCCUUGAAGCAUAUGACAUAUUACAAUUAGUUGAAGAACAAAAUCAAUUCAUGAAGAAGAUUGAAACAGAAACCCAAAAUGAAGUCUUGAAGAACAAAAUACCCUCCUUCACCAAUUUGAAAGGACUGUGGUGAAAGAAUUGUAUUUAGUGUAUUUAUGAAUCUUGGGGUGGAACUCUUGUGAAACAAAAAAUCAAAGGCACAUUUCAAUCAAGAGAAACAAAAAAUGGUGUAUUGCCUCAUAUGUGCGCACCCCAACAAAUUAUCUAUAUAUGUGAGAAAAAAACAAAAUAAUUCUCCCACCCAAAAUAAUUGUGGUUACUUCACCAAUAAACUUAUACUAACAAUCAAUUUAAAUUGAACUUAAGGAAAUAUAUAGAGCAAAGUAAGAUAAGUCACCCAAUUGGCAUACUAAAACAUGAGUAUAUGCAAAACUAAUGAGUUUGAGGAAAACAUGAACCAACCUUAAGAAUGGGCUAAACAUACUCAUGAAGAUUAAAUGUGAGCUCUUCAUUUGCUUUCAUCAAUUUGACUGACAUGUGCAUCAUUAAAAAUAAAAAUAAAAUUAGUAAGUUGUGCAUCAUUCACUUACAGUGCAAAUAGUAUGCUUAUACACACAGCUCAAACAUGAUGAAUAAUAACGUGCAAAAUUUGAGAAAUUAAUAUAAAUUCAGGCUAUCCUAAGUUUCGUAAAUUUCUAUAAAUUAUACCAAAAUCUGGUUUAGAAUGACUUCACACGCAUGGAUUUCUACAAACUAUACUAAAAUCUGGUUUAAAAAAUACAAAAGCGGAAGAAGAACAAUAGAAAAAACAUUACAUCAGAAUCAAAAUAUUACGUCUUCAACAAUGAUUCGCUAUGCAAAAAUUUGUAAACUUUUGGAUCAAAACACACAAAAUAUGUGAAAUUUAAGAAUUCAGGAUUGAAUUACGAACAAAGGAUAAACUGAAAUGGCACAAACCAUCAAUCGCAACAUGAUAAACUCUUCUUCACGUAACAUCAUCUUACGACAUACCUCUGUCUUGAUCGCGACAUGUGGCAGAGGUAGGAAUAGCAGCUAUCAAAUCUCUGCGUGUCCAUGGUAGCUUUGUGGACCCUCAGCACCAAAUCAACUCCAUUUUCUUAGAAUUAGCAUUAAAUAAAUAAUAAGAUAAAUUAAGAUAAAAUCAAGAAAUAAACAACCUAAAUCCUAAUCAAAUCUAAACUUUAAAAAGGUACUAAAUAAAGAUAGAUAAAAACUACCAAAAUCUAGCAAAUCACAAUAAAAAACUCAUAAAAUCCUGAAUUAAAUAAAAAUAUGAAAAUUCAAUAAAAAUACCAUAAAAAUUCAUUUAUACUCUAAAAGUAACUCAAAAAUAAAAUAAAAUAUUUCAUGAAAUUAAAAUUAAAUAAAUAAUAAAUAAGGAUAGAUAAAAACUAUCAAAAUCUAGCAAAUCACAAUAAAAACUCAUAAAAUCCUGCAUUAAUAAUAAAUCCGAAAAUUCAAUAAAAAUUAAUUAUUAUACUCUAUAAAUAAAUGUAAAAUAAAAUAAAAUAUUUCCAGGGAGUAAAAUUAAAUAAAUAAUAAGAUAAAAUUAAGAAAUAAACAACCUAAAUCCUAAUCAAAUCUAAAAUUUAAAAAGGUAAUAAAUAAAGAUAGAUAAAAACUACCAAGUCUAGAAAAUCACAAUAAAAACUCAUAAAAUCCUGAAUUAAUUAAAAAUCCGAAAAUUUAAGAAAAUUUAAUUAAUAUACUCUAAAAGUAAAUCUAAAAUAAAAUAUAGUAUUUACUGGAUUUAAAAUAAAAUAAAUAAAUAAUAAGAUAAAUUAAAAUAAAAUUAAGAAAUAAACAACAUAAAUCCCAAUCAAAUCUAAUAUUAAAAAUGGUAUUAAAUAAAGAUAGAUAAAAACUAACAAAAUCUAGCAAAUCACAAUAAAAACUCAUAAAAUCCCGAAUUAAUAAAAAAUUCGAAAAUUCAAUAAAAAUUAAUCAAUAUAUUCUAAAAAUAAAUUUAAAAUAAAUUAAAAGACCAAAUCUUAUCUUUUAAAAUAAUAUCAAUCAAUUAUUUUAGAAUAUAUAAAAUUAAAACAUAUAUCAAUGGAAAAUUAUAUCUUCUAAAAUAAUAUCAAUUAAUUAGGUUAGAAUAUAUAAAAUUAAAACAUAUAUCAAUUGAAAAUUAUAUCCUCUAACAAAUUGACACGUGGAAUAUUUUUUAUGAGAAUUAAUCUGGUGCUGACACGUCACUAAGAAUUAAUCUGGUGCUGACACGUCACUAUGAAAAUUCUUCUUUUCUAAUAUAUAUUGAUUGAUAUUGAUUGAUAUUGAUAUUGAUAUUGAUGAUAUUGAUAUUGAUAUUGAUUGAUAUUGAUAUUGAUAUUGAUUGAUUGAUAUUGAUUGAUAUUGAUUGAUAUUGAUAUUGAUUGAUUGAUAUUGAUGAUUGAUUUUUUUUAUUACAUUUGGAAAAUAGUCUGAAUAUAUAAUUUGAAUAAAGGGGAUCCCUUUAGAUCCAUCAUAUCCCUUCAAAAAAUUUACCAAAAAUACUUUUCCCACAUCUAAAAUUUUAAUUCCUUUUAAUCUAACUUCUCCCGAAAGUUUCUCCUUUUUCUUCCAUAAUAUCUGUCAUACAUACAAAUUAGUAUUCUUAAGAUUUGUCUCCCCAUAAUCUCGUAAACACAUAUUAGGUAACAAAAUAAAAAACCGCGUAAAGCUUUUCUAAGUCCCCUAACACUGAUCCUAUAAAUACCCUCAUAUGUUUUCUUUCUAAAGACACAACACUUCAUUCUUUUCAUUUAUUGAGAGAGGAGAACUACAUUUUUUUUUGAGCGUGAGGAGAACUACAUAUUUCUCUUCCACCCAUAAACAACACAUAUUCUUCUACCCUGUUCGAUCGUUUGCAAGCAGUUCUACCAAUCUCUUGUGCAUUGAACAUCUCAAUUUACAAUCAAGUUUCGUUCUCCAAUCCUCUCAUCGUUAAGAAAAAAGUAAGUAUUUUUUUCUUCAUAUUUUCUCCAUCAAUAACCAAACACGUUGAUAUUUAGCCAAUGCAAUCUGGCGACUACCGAUGAUAGGCAUAUAGUUGUGUAAGAAAUUAUGUAAGUUUAACCUAAUAGUUAGUUACACGAAAUUAGUAUUAUCUAUUCAAUAAAUAGUCAAUUUUUACAUCAACAUCUCAGCUGUUUUUUUCUUAAUAAUAGUAAUGUUGAAGCAAGUGUAAUUCAUAUAGUUAGUUAGGCUCAGGAGGAUUAACUAGUGUAUAGUUAAUGAGUGCUAUAUAUAGUACACAAUGUAACUGAGUUUGAGAGAGCAAUUAAUAAACAAUUAAUCAUUUUUCUCUCAAGACUUAUCUCUUUCUAGUUUUUUUUCUCUCUCUCUCUCUCUAGAGAACCUUCUGGUUCUAACAGUGGUAUCAGAGCUCCAAUCCCAUUGUUGAGACUCAUCAAACCUCAAGUCUCUACUAAAUGAACUGCUACCAGUUGCAGGGUCAAACACCUUAUAAGCACCUGUUGAAUGAUAUCCUAGGAGAAUCAAUCUUUCACCCUUAUCAUCCAACUUCUUCCUCUUAUUAUCAGGGACAUGCUUAUAGCAAAUUGAGCCAAACACCCUAAAGUGCUUCACACUUGGCUUGUUUCCUGACCAUGCCUCCUCUGGUGUCAUGUUCUUCAGCCUUUUUGUACUGCACCUGUUCAGAAUGUAGGCUGCAGUAGCCACUGCUUCACCCCAAAACUUCUUGGGAAGCUUUUUAGUCUUCAGCAUACUCCUAGCCAUAUUGAGAAUGGUUCUGUUGACUCUUUCAGCAGUUCCAUUAUGCUGAGGAGUGUAUGGGGCAAUCACCUCAUGUGUGAUGCCUUCCUUUUCACAGAAAUCAGAAAACUCAUGUGAAACAUACUCCCCUCCUCCAUCACUUCUCAGCAGCUUCAGCUUCUCACCACAUUGUUUCUCAACAAGUCUCUUGAAGCUUCUGAAUUUUCCAAAGACUUCACUCUUUUUCUGAAUGAGAUACACCCAUAACUUCCUUGUGAAAUCAUCCUUGAAAGUCACAAAGUAUCUAUUCCCUCCAAUAGAUUGAACCUCAAAAGGUCCACACACAUCACUAUAUACAACUUCUAAUGGUUUAGUAGUUCUAGUUGGUAUAUGUGAAACAAAAGAGUUUCUGGACUGCUUACUUGUCAUGCAUUCAUCACACAAUUCAGUUGGUGAUUUGAUGUGAGGUAGUCCAGUCACCAAUCCUUCCUUGCUCAUCUGUUCCAAGCUCCUGAAGUUGAGGUGACCCAAUCUGUGAUGCCACUUCCAUGAUUCAUCAGCCACUGCCUCCAAACACUUGUGAUCUUUGAUGUGAAGGGGAACCUUGAAUGUCUUGUUCUGUGAGAGUGGUGCUUUGAGAAUCAGAACCCGCUUCUUGUUGAAAACCUUUAGCAUUCUGUCCUCUAACCUCAUCCUGUACCCUUUGUCAAGUAGCUGGCCUAGGCUGAGAAGAUUGUUCUUCAUCUUAGGCACAUACAAGACAUUUGCAAUGUAGGAAGUUUUUCCAUUCUGCCUCUGGAACAUCACCCUCCCAAUUCCUUCUGCACGAAUGAAGCUAUCAUCCGCAAAUUUCACCCUUGUCUUCACAGAAUCAUCGAUGGAUACAAACCACUCCUUUUGCCCAGUCAUAUGAUUGGAGCACCCUGUGUCAAGAUACCAGUUGUUGGAAGCAUUCUGGUCAUUCUUGGUAGUCACCAUUAGCACCUUGCUCUCAGAUUCUUCAGUGUUCAAAUCUGGAUUUUCACACCUUGCUAACAACAGAACCUCAUCAGAAUCUGAAUCAUCAUCUUUGGCUAAUCUGGCUUCCUCUUCCUUGCCUCGGGUAGCCUUCUUUUGCUUGCAUUCUGAAGCAAAAUGCCCCCAAUUUCUGCAUUUGAAACACUGGAUCUUGCUCUUAUCCUUCUUCUGUUUCCCAUUGUUCUGGUUUCCACCUUUCUUGGCAUGACUUGAAUCAGAAUUUGACUUCUGAGAUCUUUGCUCUUGUGAGCUUGAUCCUCCACCAUCAUUCCUCUUAUCCCCAGUCCAUUUUCCCUUGUCUUUCUUCUUAUCAUUCUGCCCAGAAUUAUUUUUUCCUCUCCAUUGAGCACUCAAAGCUUGUUCAGAUUCCCUAUCACCUGAUCUCUCCUUGAAUCUUUGUUCAUGUGCCUCUAAGGAUCCUUGUAACUCAUCGAUCUUGAGAGUUUCAGUGUCCUUAGAUUCCUCUAUUGCUACCACUACAUGAUCAAAUUUGGGAGUAAGGGUUCUGAGUACCUUUUCAACAAUUCCUUGAUCUGGCAUGCUCUCACCAUAGGUCUUCAUUUGGUUGGUCAAGCUUCUGAUUCUGGUGAAGUAUUCUGCAAUAGAUUCUUGCUCCUCCAUCUGAAGCAGUUCAUAUUGCCUGCUCAUCGUCUGGAGUCUAACUUUCUUCACCUUUGCCAACCCAGAAUGACUUUUCUCCAAUAUCUCCCAUGCUUCUUUUGAAGAUUUUGCCUUUGAGAUCUUCUCAAAAUUUGCAGCAUCAACGCACUGAUGAAUCAAGAAAGUUGCCUUGCAAUCCUUCUUCUUGGCUUCACUGUGUGCAGGGUUUCAGAAGAAGAUUCAGUGAUUUUUUUAAACCCAGAUUCAACAACCUCAAGGCACUCUUGGAAUCCGAAAAUUGCUUUCAUCUGGACACUCCAAUGCUCAUAAUUCUUCCCAUCGAGAGUAGGAAGAUUCAUCGGAAGCGAAUUCGAUCUUGACAUUGCCCUCUGUUCUUCGAUUCUUCUUGAAUUCUCUUCAAUUCUCUCAACCCGUUGAUCUCUGCCUUGAGCUUCGCCACUGGAACUCCUUGCGCCGCCGCAGCACCACCUUGCACCGCCCUGGGCACCACCACAGGCUCCUGAUCGAUGAGCUCUUGAUACCACUGUUAGAACCAGAAGGUUCUCUAGAGAGAGAGAGAGAGAGAGAGAGAAAACUAGAAAGAGAUAAGUCUUGAGAGAGGAGAACUACAUUUUUUUUUUGAGCGUGAGGAGAACUACAUAUUUCUCUUCCACCCAUAAACAACACAUAUUCUUCUACCCUGUUCGAUCGUUUGCAAGCAGUUCUACCAAUCUCUUGUGCAUUGAACAUCUCAAUUUACAAUCAAGUUUCGUUCUCCGAUCCUCUCAUCGUUAAGAAAAAAGUAAGUAUUUUUUUCUUCAUCUUUUCUCCAUCAAUAACCAAACACGUUGAUAUUUAGCCAAUGCAAUCUGGCGACUACCGAUGAUAGGCAUAUAGUUGUGUAAGAAAUUAUGUAAGUUUAACCUAAUAGUUAGUUACACGAAAUUAGUAUUAUCUAUUCAAUAAAUAGUCAAUUUUUACAUCAACAUCUCAGCUGUUUUUUUCUUAAUAAUAGUAAAAGCCAUAUAUAUGACCACACUGACACAUUUAGUAUAGAUAGAUUUUGAGAGGGUGAUGGAUCAUUCACACUACUGCAAAACACUGUUGGAGUAGGUAGAGUCUUUAACUGCAUUUCUUCAAAAAACAGCUCUUCUAAAAUAAUAACUUUUUUAAUUAAAUUUUUUAAGAUAUUUGUUUCAAUUUUCCUUCAGAAGUGAACAUUAGAUUAUUUGAAAAAUCUAUUUUAAUUAUCACAAAAAAUAAUUUUAACUAAUGUAACAAAAUACAUAUCAGCUUGUUCCUGAACGACAGCUCAAUAGUGACAAUUGAGGGACAUAAAUGUAAUUUAAGAUUUUAGGUCGAGAGAUUAAUCUCACGAGUCACGACAAUAAGACGCUUCGGGUAUCGGAUCCGGUUAAAAAAACAAAGGGGAGUGGAAAAGCCAGUGUAGUUUUCAUGUUGCUAUUUCUGGGGUGCGUCUCUCGCCAACUUGCGAAUAACCGUCUCUGCAAUCUGCACCUUCUCGUCUUCGCUUCUCUCUCUCUCUCUCUCUCUCUCUCUCUCUCUCCAUUUCUAGGGUUUCUCACUUCUCCACACUCCAUUCUCAAACCUUUAUUCCCCUCUCAAAAAGUAACUAUCAUGCUUCUAUUCAUGUCACAUUGUGUCAAAUUUCAGUGUUGAUAGUUUGCAUUUUCAAGUUCUGAACAUUCAUGAGGAUUAUCUGUACUGUAUUUUGAAGAUUUUGGUUUUCGCUUACUGAUAGUUGUUGCGUGUUUACUUCUGCAGGUUUUCCUUAAUUAGUAACAUUUGCUCUUGCGAGUUGCGAUAAUCGUCACAAAGGUGCGAACUUUUUGCUUGUUUUAUGGUUUUCACCUUCGUUGUGUGUUACGGAGCUUGAACAGGGGUGGGAAAAUCAAACUCAAAGGGGUAGGAGUAGGGUAGCUCAGUUGGCAACACGCAGACCGAGUGUGUGGGAAGAACUCUCGGGUUGGAUCCCCGACACAAGACACUCGGGUCGGGAAGGGAUGAUGUGUCUUAACUGUGACUAAAUCGUGAAUCUAACGGCAUCCAAAGGGUGAUCGGGAAUCAGAUUUUUAUACCAAAAAACUCGAUCUCAACUUUGCAUGGGUGCAUGGCCACAGUGCUUGUUGAUUGGCCUGGGUAGUUUAGGAAAAUUUUAUAGACUAAAUGUAGUAGAAGUAGUCACUUGAAUGUAGUUAGGUUUUUUAGGCUUAAUUUUUUUAAACCAGGAAAAAUAAAUUUUGGAACAUUAAGUAAAGUCUAAAUUAGAGUAGGGAAUAUAAAAGUUUUGAGGGGCAAGUACAACAUUUUAAUACUCUUCUAUUUAUGAUUUUUGUGCCCCAUUUCAAUUAUAGCUAGUUUCUGGUUGUGUGGCUGUUUUGUUUUAUCAGAACUGAUUUGUGUUGUAUUCAUUUAUGCAGAUGAGUAUGCACAUUUUCCUUAAAAAAGAUCAAAAACUUAUAUGCCCUGUAAAGUGUUCUGAUCCACCAGUUGAACUGUAUGUCUCUUGUUCUCUCCUAAGCAUUUUAAAGAGUAACUUUGGAAAUGUCUUUCAUCUCCUGUCCUCUGAUGAGACUAGUCUGAUCUUUUUACUAAUGAAUAUCUUGACCUGACAACAUUUGCAGGCCACAAGAGUUAAUCAUAAAGUGUAUGUUUAAACAGAAGAAGAUGUCUGGGCUUUCUAAAUUGCCCCAAUUUCCACUUACCCGCGCGCCAUCCAAUCCACGUGAUGAGUAUGAGUGGGAGAAGUUCUUGAGUUUCCUGCACGAACAUGACCGUGUAUGAUAUUUUAUAUUUUAUAUUUUAUUUCCUAGAUUCUGUUAUUUUCAAGUGGGUCUAAGCUUAAAAUGUUCGGUUAAGAUUAUUUUCUAUGCUUAACCAAACAUUUAAAUUGAAUUUUUCAUAGCAUAAACAUUUAGGCUGGUGUUUGUUUAAGCUUUUGAAAAUAUGUAUUAUAAGAUAACAGGAUCUUAUGUUCUAAAUAAGUGUGGUUGGUCUGUUAGUUUACUUAAUCAUCUCAUUAUCUUUUUGUUGCCAAAAAAAUUCAUCUCAAUAUCUUUGUUGUGGCUUUUCUUUUUUUGCUGUUAAGGUCCUUGAUUUCUUUCACAUUAUUGAAUAAUUGCUAAAGUUCAUGAAUAUCAAUGUUUAACAGGUUGAGUAAAACUAGUAUAUUUUCCCUCUUCAGUCUUCACCUUUGUGUUAUUCUUUUUUGUGUUUAAUCAAAAUCAUCAAAUCAUGUUUUGCAGGUUGCUUAUGGAGAGUUUGAGCAGAUCAAGUUUUACAUUCUUCCUCCUGCUAAAGCCUCAAAAUUUAGCCCAAUCAGUUUUGAAUACCAAAUAGACCACACACGUACUGUAGAUACUCGUCCGAGGGAUUGUGAAUCAGGUGUUUCUUCCAUUGUUAAUUGUUUUUAUUAUCAUGACAUAACAAGUCAAUGUCUAAUGUUACAAAAGUGUGCUUACGGAAAUGUUGUGCCUAUUCAGAACAGCACACAUGAAUCUACAUGAUUGAUUCAUGCACAUUUAUACUUUAGGUUUACGACAUUACAUUGGUAUUCUUUUUUGAAAAAAAAAAAUUGCUUCUGUAGUGGAGGAUUUUAUUUGUGACUUUGGUUUAUCUAUCGCUUGUGAAUUGAUUUUUUUGUUUAUACAUAGAAAAGAAGAUUAUGGGAAUUUUUAUUUAAGCUUGGCUUCUGCCUCGUGUUUACAUGGGUGAAAGUAAUUUGUAGUAGAUGUUUCUUUAGCAGGUUCGCACUUAGCUGAGGAAUGUGUUGGACAGGUUAAUGCCAUGGGGAGAUGUCUAGCAAACGGUGCAGAUGUUUGCUCUUCAGAUCUUAAGAUUCCUCCCGUUGAAGAUCGUGCUAAUCGUUUUACUGCUGAAACUUGUGGUGGAUAUCAAUCUCACGUGAAGCAGGAUAGAAUCCUUGAGAAAAAUUUAAUUCGGGUAGACCCAAGUUACCUGAAAACUCUUGGACAGGCUCACUCUGGAUGGGUUUUUGGUGGAAUAGCAGAGCUUGUUGAUAAUUCAAGGGAUGCUAAAGCUACUAAGUAGGUUUUAUGCUUUCAUUCUUGCACUGUCAUCUUGUUUCUGUUUUUGUUGAAAACUUGUUACCUGUAAUGUUUAUUUGACUCUAUUUUCAGUAUAAUAGAAAUUUUAUUUGAACGGCUUUUAUGGCAUAUGUAUAUGGAUAGAUAAUAUAUGAAUUGGUCAUUUUAUUAGUACGUCUGGUUUGAUGUGGAAUAUUUUGUCAAUCUCCAACGGCUUUGAUUUAAGGGAAAGGAGUUUGGUAUCUGUAUUAUUCUGUGCCGGGACUUUGUCUUUUGUUUCUCCGUUAGUAGUUAUUAUUGUGAAUGACUGUAAUAAGGUCUUCGGUUUUGAAGGUUUUGGGUUAUUUGAUGAUAACUAUCAAAAGUGAAAAGUAAGAAGAAAUGGAGACAAUGGUCUCACAUUUCUUUUUUUCUCACACUUAUGGAUUUGAUGUCAAAAUAUGCCUGCUUUAAAAGCUAUUUUGUAAAUGGAUGAAUAGUUUAUAUAGAAUUACCCUUUCAUAUCAAUAACUCUGAGCUAUGUACUGAAAGUAAAAAGCUAUAGGUCAUCCUUUUUACCCGUUUUCACUGACUCAUUUUGGAGGGAGGAUUGGGAAAGUGAAAUAAGAUGAUAGCUCAGGUUCUGAAAAACUUUCUCCUGAGCUCUUUUUCCUCCUCAAAUAGUGCUUACUAUUGUUCUGAUGUUGAUGUAACAGGAUCGAUAUUUCUGUAGAUAUGAUAAAGCUGGAGAAAUCUGGGAAGGAUGUUCCGAUGUUGUCAGUUAUUGAUGAUGGUCAAGGGAUGGACCAUGAUGAGGUUGUGAAAAUGGUGUCUUUUGGACACAAGCAACUUGAUAAAGAUGACAAGGAUCACAUUGGCAGGUUUGGUGUUGGAUUCAAGGUAACUUUCUUUCAAUCUCUAUCUCUCUUCUGUUUUUUUCCCUACCCAACGGUAGUGGAAUGCAGCUUGAAUUUUUGUCCCUUUUAUGUCAUAAUAUUGUGUUAAUGCCUUAAUGGCUUUGUUGUGGUGAUCAAACUAAGGUACUUUGGGGUCUGCCAGUUAAUUUAUGUUUCUGUUCUUACGCUGUCCCCCUUUUCCCCAUCUGUUUGGAGGAUGUUUCAUUCUCUCACUUUAUUAUUUUUUGUGGUAAUUAGUUUUUUUUUUCAAGCAAAGAUACUUGAUCAAGUUUUGUUUUGCUUGCUUAUUUUGUUUGCAUUGUAUGAGAGUUUUACUGCAGAUAGCUUUGUCAUAAUUGUGGUUAUUGACUAAAUCAUGUUACAAGGAUGAUAUUUAAGUUUGAUUUUUAUCACGAUCUUGUUCUGUCCCAUUCUUUUUAAUCCCUCUACUGAUAGUAACUUAUUUUUAGUUCAUAUCCUUUUUUGACCAUUGUGAUCCCUCAUCGUUUCAGAGUGGAGACUUUUAGUCCCUUUUGUCAUCUCCUGUCAGUUAAUUGAAUACAUAGCUUAGAAGACACCAUGUAACCAUUGCCACAUAUCCAAACCUAUCCCACCUGGAUUGGAAUGUGGCAAGGUUUCACUCAUGUGCAAUAUCAUGUUUUUAUCUUCCUCUCCACUUUCAAACUUAAGUACCCAAUUCUCUCUACUAUCGAAUGGUUCCACCCACCGCACCCUUAUACCCAACAUACAGUAGCCCUCAAGUGUCAUCUUAUUUUACGCCCUCGUCCUUCCUCCUACUUCUGCUGUUCAUGAAUGCAAGUAUUCAAUUUAUGGCCUUUGGAGUGUUAAGAGAAUGGAAUUGGAUUUCUCUUAUUUUGUCUGCAACUCAUCCAUGUUGGGAGAAAAGAAACUAAUUGGUUUGUAUGGGUUUGAUCUUUGAAUAUUAAACAGCUUGAAGUCUCUUGUUCAUACCCUAGCUGGAGAUUACAGUACCGUUUGACUGGGCUUUGCUAAUGCUAGACUGUGAUCCGAAAAGGAUAAUGUUAGGUUUCGAAUAUUGAACUAUUGAACCCUGAACCUCUUGAUGGUGGCUAAAUCCAUCAUAGGUUUGGUCAUUAAAGUGGCCUUUCACACACACAUAGGGGGCGUUUGUUUCAAGCUUUGGAAAAGGACACCCAGGAAUCUAAUUUCCGAGAAUAUUAGGACAGGAAUGUUAUUACAUGGCUCUUUAGAAAAUGUGUUUGGUUAACAAGUUUAAUUCCUUGGAAUCUUUUUCAUCAGAGUGGUAAAAAAAGUGGAUUGGGUUCAAAAACAGUAGUCGCAAUAUUUAGAGGGGUCUAAACUAUACUCAAGUCAAAUAUAAAUUACUAGAUCCCUUCAAUCUCUCCUGUAUUUUCUUGCUCAAGUAAAUUUUUGAAUCGCUGUUCUUUUGUGGUUUUUCUAUAGACAGGAGCAAUGAGGCUUGGGAGAGAUGUGCUUGUUCUUACCCAGACUGCUAAUUCAAGAUCAAUAGCAUUUCUUUCACAAUCAUUGAAUGAAGGCAAAGAUGUAAGUUACCAUGAUAUGUAUUUUCUUUUCGUUACAUGUUAGUAUUGAGAAAUGAGAGAAGAAAAUAAACUGAAAAAUUCUUUUAUUAUCUGAACUCUGAACAAUUUUACAAAUACAUUUAUAUUGUUUUUGCUAUAGCUUUGCUCAACCGUCUCAAACUGACUUCUAACUAACUAAUAACUGUCAGUAACUGAAUCAUACUCCUUUCUCAAGCUUAACUGACAACUAAGCUGAGAUAGGAGAGAAAAGUCAGACAUGUUGAGUAUAGCGAGUAGGUGAAAGAGGUUUGGUCACAGUAUCAGCUAGCUGCAUGUCUGGGGGAUAUGCUACACAAUCAACCUCCUGUUGAUCUUUUCUCAACAGAGAAAAUGUCCAACUCCACAAGUUUUGUUCUAGACUGCAAAACUAGAUUUGUCAUAGAGAACGGAAGGAGUUGUUCUCACAACCUUGGUUUCCUGAAAUAAGGUUUGAAUUUUUAGCAUGUCAGCAAGAGCUCGAGCAAAGCUUUAUGCCUAAGUGCUGCUGUAGGUCACUGUUAAUGUUUAGGGACCACACAAAAAAAACAAAUUAGGCCCGAAAAGAUUUGUUUUUGGUCCUCUUUUCUGCCACCCAUAGGUUUUUCAAUUUUCAUAUCUUCUUUACAACCCUAAAAUGACCUUGAACACUUGAAAUAUUUGUUUUGUUCUGCCCUUUCUCCUCCUCUGCUAUGUCCAAAUUUCUCUUCUCUUUUUGAACUAGCAGGAUGUCAAACAUUUGGACCAACAUCUACCCUCCUUUUUCUAAGUUAUUGGCUUUUGCCCAUUAGUCGCUUUUCCAUGCCUUCUACCUCCUCUCAAUGAUUCUAAUCUUAACUCCAUUUUCUUGCUAUCUAUAAGUGUCACUACCAAGCAUCCAUGACUUCUAGAGGAAGCUCUUAUAUCAGUUGGAUAGGAACUAGCACUAAGAAAGAAAGAAAGAAAGAAAGAAAGAGUGUUUAUUGAAGUAAUUUUUUUGAAUAUCUUGGAUAUUUGUGAGUCCGUAGUUUCAAUUGAGUUUGAGUCAAUCCUUUCCUCCAUGAGUAAUGAUAUAUACACACCUCAUUUUUAAAACACUUCAUUUUCACCUCUUUUUGUUUCUAUCUCUCUCCUCUUACCAUCUAUCACAUCUCAUACUUUCUCUCCCUUACUUUUUCUUUUCUUCCUAUCUCUCUCAUCAUUCCACCUCACACACCUCAAAAGAGAGGUGUGUGAGUAACAUUACUCUUUCCUCCAUUUUCUUGCUAUCUGUUUUGAGAGAGAAUAAUGAACCUAAAACUGAUUUUGUUGUUAUCUGAACUGUGAAUGUGUUGAAAAAGAAAAAGAAGUUUAUAGUGUGUCUUAGCAAAAGCUUAAUCCCAACUUUCAUAAAGUGACUUCUAACUUCCAGAAGCUGAACCUAACAACUUCUAGGACUUGCUGCACUUGAUACAACUUAAUCAUGCAUACUCCAUUGUUCAGACAUGAGAAAUGAUGGUUAUGAUAUGAUUUCUGCAUUGUUUUUGGGUUCUAGUAGUUGUAAUUACUAGUUGGACUAUUGCUUGAUAUUCCCAGUGUUGAUACUAUUCCUUUAUUUUUUAUAAUGAUACGCCAUUUAAUUGUUUUAAUGCAGAAUAUCGAGAUUCCCAUAGUUAGUUACAGACGACAGGGACAACGUAUGGAAGUUGAUACUAAUGUUCAAUCAGAAGCUCUUUCAAAGUCCAAUUUGAAAGCUAUUAAGGAAUAUUCACCGUUUGACAAGUACCUAAUUGGUGAAAAGACAGCUUUGUUUAGCGGUGGUUCGGGAACGCAAAUAUAUAUAUGGAACUUGGACCGAUGGGGGUCAGAAUAUUGUCUUCAGUGGCAAAAUGGUUUGAAAGGUGGAAGUUCAUUCCACCAAGGUGACAUUCUAAUCCGCAGCAGAAGAAGUCGCUCUCGUCCAGGGCAAAUUAAUCAAAAGGUUGGGCAUCUCUUUCUUUUAAGUUUAUUGUCAGUUGAACUAUGCUGCAAUUUCAUGCUUCCUAUGGUCUUCAGGUUCCAUUGGAUUACUCACUGCGAGCUUAUUUAGAAGUCAUCUUCUUAGUUCCACGAAUGAAGAUGAGUGUUCAAGGGACACUGGUAAUUGCAUUCUCGUAUUUUAAGUAGUUCUGGGAGGGUGAUGAUUGUUCUAUUUUUCUCUUGCACGUUAUCAAUCUUUGUUCAUUUUGUCUUUGUUCAGGUUAAAAGUCGUCCACUGGCAAAUUUCCUGACUAAAACUGUUAUCGAAACUGGUAUAAUCUUGGGAAGGCCUGUUGAAUUAACUCUAGGGUUCAGUCAAUUAGAAUGGGAGCAAGCAAGCUGUGGAAUAUUUUUGUACUGGCAUGGUCGCUUAAUUGAGGUAAGGAUUUACUCUCUGGUUCAGAUCUAACCAUUUGGGUUAGGGGGUGAGUGGCAUCCAUCUUUUAAACACUAGUAUGUAGCAUAGCCUUGCAUCAGGACGUGAAUUUCCAUAUCUCCUGUUUGCUACUGUUGGUUUCAAACCAUUCAAAUGGCAUCAGGAGAUCUUGGAUUUGUGGGUAUUGUUUGUCCCUAAUUUUGAAAGAUUACAAAUAUGGCCUCGAAGAUACUGGGUGAGUUACAUACUGCUGUGAAAAUGAUGGAUGUACCUAAUUGCCCCUUGAUGAGCUUUAAUACCUUGACGUUCAUCAAUUCUCUGUGCAUUAUUCUGCAGGAAAUCUGCACUGGUUGGGAUUUAGUUUUUAUCUGAAUACCUGCCUUUAGUUUCUGGAAACUAAUUUUCUCUUUAGCUUUGUAUUAUUGAUGGAAAUGAAAAAUAAUAUCUAAGAACUUCUUUUCCCCCCUGAAUGACAGAAUAAUGCAGCUCUGAGAUAGAUGUUCUUAUGUUAGUCAAUAUUUCCUACUCCUUCCUGCUGAUAAGACCGAAUCAAAGGUUUUGAUGUGGAAAUUUCCUACUCCCACCUGUUUAUUGUAUGUGGCCAACCUCGUAACCACAUUUUAUUCGUUUAGAUCAAAAAAAUGUCUUCUGCACGAGGCCCACGUGCUUUCCCCUUGUCUACUACAUUUCUAUUACACCAAACUGGCACAAUUUGCAAUGUCUGGCCAUGUUCUUUACCUUCAGCAUGUCCGAGUCGCUACCAAAAAUAGGGUUAGGGCUGAAUCAUUAUAAAUUUGUGACAUCUAGUAUUUCUGGAUCAUUACAAUGAGAAAUCCUGUUUUGCAACUUCCUUGUUCGAUGUUGUAUGCGGAUUUCCUCGCUCAGUGAAUUACCUAUGUACUUUAUAUUUUAGUAAUCAUGAGGAGACUGCCUUGUUUGAACAUGGAUUUGUAUAUAAGGAACUUCUAGCUUCAUGAUUGGGUUGACUGCGCGCAUCUUAAAUUCUUAACUUGUAGAUUUCGCAUAAGAAAGCUUAUUUUUGUCUACUUUUUUGUAGGCUUACAAAAGAGUUGGUGGCAUGAUUCAUAGUGCAGAUGUGGGACGGGGUGUAAUUGGUGUCGUAGAUGUGUCCAACUUAAUGGUAUGUACUUUCUGAUUGCAUUUCCUUUGGGUAAUAUAUUUAUUUGACAUUAAUUAACCUGUACUUUAACCAUUUGAAACCUUUGUGGAAACAAAGUUCUUGAAUGCUUGCAAAAUGUCACUAACUUUAGUGCUUUACACAUUUAAUUGUAUGCUUGUACAAUCUGCCAGAUUGAUUUGCAUACUUGUCCUGAUUUUAGUGAGGUGCACUGUGUAAGUAUUUGAUUAAAUUUGAAAUUUGUGACAAAAGAGACGGUAAAAUGGCAUUUUUUGUUAGAGUAAUUACUUUCGUAAUCCAUAUUAGUAUUGGCUUACCAGUUACCACAAAUCGUUGAAACUUGAGAAGAAAUACUUUGUGCUUGAAUAGAUUUUUUUAUAUUUCCUUUUAUUUUAAAUUUGAUUUAUAUGCUUAUACAUUCUGCUUAAUUUGCUAAAUUAUCCUAUACGAGCUGGAGUUAUUUGCUAUGUAACUUCUAAAGGUUUUAUAUAUAAAUAAAACUGUCUAUAAUUCUUUUAAGCAUGGAAUCAUUCAUUUUUCUUUACGACAUAUGAACUUCUGUACUUUUUACUUCCUGGCAUAGGAUGAGCAGGAUGGUCGUGUGUGGGUGCAUAAUAACAAACAGGGAUUCCAAGAUUGUCAAUCGUAUGCAUCUCUUGAGGAGUGGCUUGGUAGAAGAGCAGAUCAAUAUUGGGACAAGAAUUUUGAUUCACUUGAGUUGGUAAAGCACUUCUGUAAUAUUUUUCAUAGUAACAGUUCGUUGUCAAAUUCUUGUUAUUCCUUAAACCUAAAAGCAAAGUAUUUCUUAGCUCUCCGUGUGGGACAGCUUUCCAAGUACGAGAGAUUGUUUCAAAUAAUUGAAUUUGGUAACUGUAACGAAAUUCAAGUUAUGAAUGGUUAAUAUCCACUUAUAAAAUGUGUUGCAAGGCUGAUGCUUACUUUGGUCUCUCUGCAUAAGAUAUGGAUCUCAACAUUGUUAUGUUUGAUUAAACAUGAUUUUAAAUGAAUGAUGAAUGAGUUGAACUUUCUUUUUCACGUGACAAAUAUCAUAUCAGAAUUCCCUCCUCGUGUAGAUCUUCCUUUUCUGGGGAUGUGUGCUGAACUUCACUUCAAUUUCUUUCGCAGGACAAAGGUAAUUGUGUCUACAAACCCGAUUGCGAAUGGGUCCAGUGUGACAAGUGCAGAAAGUGGAGAAUAUUGCCUCCUGAUUUCGACAGCAUGAGCUUACCUACUCAAUGGUAUGCUAAUAGCUAUUUUACAAUCAUAUAUCUGCUUGACUAACUUAUGAUUAUUUCUUCAUUGCUAGUCUGUGUUAAGGAGGAGUGCUUAUAAUGUUAUAGUGAAAUACGAAGUCUUGUUUCUAAAGUCACAUGUUUAAAACAAAAAAAUGAUCUGUGAAAUCAAUAAUUGCAAUUGAUAAUGGACCUAUGGACAGAAUACACUCUCAUUUGAUUGUUUAAUUUACUGAAAUUUGGUGUACAAUGUAAUCAUGUUAAUAUUAUGAUUCAACUGAUUGCUAAUUUUUUUACUGACUUCCUAAUGGUUUAACAAUUUAUUCGUCAAAUCAUAAAAACUAAUGAAAACACAUUUUGUUGCAUUCACAUCAGGAGAUGCAUGAGAUGAGAGAUAACUCUUAGCUACAGAAAAAUAUCUUUAAAAUCUUAAAAAAAAGAUGAUAUUUUAAUGUGUACAAAACUACAAAUUAGAUUUAAGUUUAAUAAAGAAAUAGAUAAUAGAAACAAAAGUGUUUUCUAACCGGGUAGGGAAAUAAUGGAAUAGAUAAUUGAAAAAUUCACAUUUAUGAACGUGCCACAAAAUAAUGUAUUGGUGUAUAUAUUGUGUUUAUUUAUUUUGAACUCUUGCAAAAUUAGGUUCUGUUAUAUGGAGCCUUUCAAAGGUAAAUGUGCAGAUGUUGAACAAAAGCAGAAGCCUGGCAUAGUCGUCGUUUCCACAAAGCGAUCUACAGAUGAUUGCGUGCUGAAAGAUUCUGAUAGUACAAUGAUUGAAGCUGAUACGGAUGCUUCUGGAUCAGGUUAGACAUGAGAUCAGUUGACUACUAACUUGGCACAAUAUUUUUAUUUUCAAAAAAAUUACUUAAAUUAAAAUCUUAAUAUCUUGGAUGAUGGUGUGCCUUUCAAAUGCUUAGCAUGCUCCUUGCAGAAGAGUCAACUUGAAUUAUGGAGGACAAACCAUAGCCCAUGACUAUGAAAGUCAAUUUAGUAGAAUUGGGGUGGUGGCAAGAUUUCAUUUUUGGAGUAGUUAUCAUAUGCUUUGAUUAUGGUCCUGAAACAUUUUGCGUUUGGGUGGGGCAUUUUAUAUGGAAUCAAAGAAGUGUUUGUGUUUGUACCUGGUCGAUUGUAGGUUAGGUUUUCAAAUCAACUUGAACGAAAAGUUACCACUUACAAUGAAUGGAGAGAACGUGUUCUUCUUAUUGUGAUGUCUGCACCCUGAUAUAUGUAAACUAACUGCACCCUGAUAUAUAUAAACUAACUGUUGAUUAUGAUUAUGAUUCAGAUUUAUAGAGUUGAUUGAUUAGUUGAUACUUGAUAGUUUCCUUCUUUGGCAUAUCAUAAUACCUAAACUUUAGGGAUCGAUUUAGGAUUGAUUUCUUCCAUUUUGUAAAUAUUGUACAAAUCAUCUUGAGAAAUAUACCGAGAAUUAUCUUAACGCCCUUUUUAUUAUAACUUUUCAAUAUUUGGCCAGUAUUAUCUUAGCAUUUCAGAGUAUUGCAUUGCUUCGGUUUCAUUUUUAAUUCUUGCUAUAUUCUCAACUUGUAGAUGAAAAAUUGGCCAAAGCUGAGGAUUUCAAAUCUACAAACUUAAAGCGGUUGAAAAGGGGACUUCCAAGAUAUGAGGAUGCCAGAUCCCCGUCUUCAACAAAGCCGAGAAAGGGAUAACUGCACAGAUAAAAUAGGCAUUCCAGUAUUGCCACAAGAACGAUCAUCUUUUUUUUUUGAAGGGCAGAGAAAUCUUCACAUUAUUUUGUUCAGUUGGAAGGUAUCAAUCAAAAUAUCAAACAUUUUGCUCAAGUUAAUAUUCAGUCUGGCAUGAUAAUAGACUGUAAAAUGUUGUCCAUGCUGCCCAAGUUCAGGUAAAGUCUGAAAUCUUUUGUAGCCUAAGGUUGCAUUAAUUUGUCUUCCUCUGAUAUAUUCUCAUAGCCUCCAUUCGAACCUUUUUAUUUGUGUUCAAUUCUGUUUCUAAAGUUAUGUAAGCAUAUCAUAUCAUCAUUUUAUGUCUCUCGCAGGUAUAAAAGAUGCGGUGGAGCUCACGGAGGUGUUUGGUGGAACAUAUUUUUUGUCACGCUGAUGCAUGAUUGUGUGCCUGUGUCAUGUUGCUACUUUUAUACAUUACAUGGUUGCUGAUGAAAUCCUUGAGACAACCGUUAAGAGAUUUUGGUACACAAUGUUGUUAAUAUACUUGCCGGUUUUUGUAUAUAUAAUCAGUAGUAAUCAAAAUUUGGUUUCUCCCACUCAUGAAAAUGUAUUUACGUCUUGAGACCAUUACUAUUUUGGGUUUUGCCGUUUUACUAUAAAGUUGUCAAUUUAAAAAAUUAACAGGCGCGGCCUCAGGUCCACUCUGCACCAUUCACCAACACCAGUGGUACUUAGCAUUCUCCAUCAUCACAGCCGCCAUGUUGUGUGGCACACUCCACCACCGCUAAGUGAUCUCCGCCACUACUACUACUACCCUUUAUUAGAGUUCCACUUCCAAGUAUUUUAUGUUCUUUCAUUGCGGAUAAACCUAUAUCCUGGGAAUGCUUUUUUCAGAAAAAGAAUGUUAUUUGUUACAAGGUCAAGAACGGAAGUAGAAAAUCAGACUAUGACAUCAAUUAACUAGUCUAGCUCAAAUAAUUACUUCAUGAACUAAUAUUUAGGGGAUACUACGUAUAUGACAUUCAUUUUUCGAUAAUUAAUCAGAAAUCUUUUUCACUUUAAUUAUAGAAAAUUAUUAUGUUUUCACAGAAAAUGUUUUAACAGAAAACAUGACUGUUGGCUUAGCACUUUUGUUAAGCAUUAGUCCAAAUGAUUUAUAAGCAAAUGUUUUCACCAAUUCAUUGAUAGACCCUUAAAUAAGUUACAAAUGUAAUAAGUUUGGUGCAUAUGAGUUAUAACCAUGGAUUGGGGGACUUAGAUGGUGUUGCUGGCAUCAGAGGCUUGCGCUUCAAUAAGGGGUUGUUUUGUGUCUACACGCUGAAAUGUUGUCUUCGAUGGGGGAAGGUGCUGCAUGCAUUAGAGGCUUGCGUCUCGAAUGAGAGCCUUACGUGUCCGCAAGUAGAAUAAGGGUAACACUUGCAUUAAAAAAACAAAAACUAGUUUCUCAUAAGAUACGUCUCAUCUAUACAAAAAGAUCUGCUUAAUCCAUGAGUAACUUUGUAAAAGUUACUUUGUUUAGUUACUUUUCAUAGGAUAUGAAUUUAAUAAAUAUAAUCAUUGAAUUAUGCAAUAUAAUUGUGAUGGCUAUGCAUACAAAAUUUUGGGUUAUAGUUGAUAUUGACUUACUUUCAAGACAAAUAUUAUCUUUUUUUUGAAAGUCAAGACAAAUAUUAUCUAUCAUAAUGAAAUUGUCUAAUGAAGUAUCCAAUGAUUUUAAAAUAUUAUGAAAUUUUGUAUGCUUAAUCUACUCAUUUAAAAGUUUUAAUUCCUAAGGUCAGGGUUCAAAUCUUACUGGUAUCUAAAAAGUUUUAAUUCAAAGGUAGUAUUUGUCAAAUUCAUAUUAUGUAAAAACUUAGUGAGAGAUGUAACUUUAAUUAGAGUUACUCCUAGUUUAAUUUGACCCCUCCAUUAUGAUAAAUAUGUUUUUAUAUGAGAACAUGAGAAUAAUUCAUGACCGCUAAAUCAAGUCAUGAAAUAUCAAGAUUAAAACAUCAAGUCAUGUGAAUUUUUAAAAAAGUCACAUCAAAUUUUUAAGUGGUCAUGUGACAAUGAAAAUGUUUUAAUUUUAGUCACUCAUUAUUAUAGAUCUAACGGUCAUGACUUAUUCUCAUGUUCUCACUUCGAUAAAUAAUUAUUGAUAGAAAAAAAUGAAUUUUAAGAAUAAAAAACAAUAAAUACUUAUUUAUUUAGUGAAAUAAAAUAAUAAAAAAUUGAAAAAAUGUAUUAAUAUAAUAUAUUUUAUAUUUACAGGGCGGCUAUUUCAAAACAACUUCUUCGGAUAAAAUAAUAGAAUAAAAUUAAAAUAUGUACUAUUACAAUAUUUUUAUAUUUAUAUUAAAAUAAUAUAUUUAAUAUUAUAGUAGUAUACAAUUUUAAUAAAAUAUUGUUUUUCUCAAGAUUAAAUUUCGGGAGUUGUCGUUUUAUAUUAAAUUAAAAAGAAAAUAAAUAAAAUAGUUUUGAUUGUAGAGAUUGGUGGAAACCUAAUGUCAAUUGUAUAAAAGGGCACCUGAGCAUCGUCAUUGAGAUACCAUCUCUACUCGAUUCAGGGAGAGGGAAAUGUCGAACUCAUCUCAGUCCCAAGAUCCAAUAUCGAACGAUCAACAGAGGAACAAUCGAGAUCCUUAUGGUAAUACAUGAUUCUUAAUUCCCAUUUUUUUCACUUUUCAUGUCAUUUUCCUCCAUUACUAUUCUAACUAUGCUUACCUCUGAUUUUGGUGUUACGAUGAUCGACCACAGAACCUUCAUCACCUCUUUCUCGUGAGGGCAUUGGAUAACCGUCCACGAUGUCUAACACCAACAUUGAUGUUGGAACAUUUGCAACCAACUCAGGAGGAGAUGAUAUGACAGUGAAGAUCACAUAUAUCGGUAGAAGCAUGAUCAUUCUUUUAUUGAACUUUUUUCUAUUUUUACAAUACUGAAAUUUAUAGAAUUGAUAUAAUAAAUACUUUAUGCAAAUUAUAGAAGGUUUGUUUAAUUUUAUAGUAGACUUCAAAAAUUAAUGAAAAUAUUUUGUAGAGAUGUCUAAACCUCUAGCUAUUCCAGAACACUAGAUGGGUUUUUGCCAAAUCUCUUAUGUAAUUAGUUUUAUAAAUAAUUUUAACAAGCAGAACACACUUUAAAAAUUAUUUCUUUAAAAGAAUAAAACUUAAUUAGUGCAUAUAGGUUCCACGUAAUUGUCAUAAUUUUAUUGAGGGAGAAAUGACCAGAUUUGACUUUAAUUUGCAGGAUCAAAAGAUAGUUUUAUUAAAGCAAGUAGUUCUACUUUUCCUUACCCUCAUCGCUAUCCUCCUUUUAACAUAAUUUUUUCUCAACAAUUUUUUUCUAUCACUUUUUAAUUUUUUUUUUGUUUUUAGUUAUAAUCAUAUAUCUCAUUAUAAUUUAUUCUUGCCCUUCUACUAUAAACAUAUAGACUUGUAAUUGAAUGAAAGGACAAGUAAUCGUUUUCAUUUCAUAAAGCAUCAAAAUCUCAUAUUUUUAUCUUUAUUUUUUUCAGGAUAUCUUAGCACGUUUGGCACAGUUUGCUAAAAAGGAAGAUCUGUGUAUCAUCGGAGCGACUGAAACUGUAUCGCAUGUUGAAUUUCUUAAUCGUCAAGGAGUUCCAGUACAUGUUCAUGUUUGUAUUUCUUGUCCCUUUCUUCUUCUUCUUCUUUUAUUCAAAAUUUUCUAAAUUAUCAUUAUUUCUUUUUCAAAUUCAUAUUCUUAUUAUUUUGUAAAAUAUAUAAAUCUUUGUUGAUUUCUAUCAAACUAUAAAAAAUUGUUUGAAAAACGUUAUAUCAAUGUAUUUAACAUAUAAUGCAAUUAACUUUAUUAAGCAUAUUCUAUCUAUGUUUUUAAAUAUUUUUGCUUGUAAUUUAGUAAAAUUUAACAAGCUUUAGUGAGUAGAAAUGAACUUACAUUUUUUCAAAAGUAUAUUUUUUUUGUUGAAUUACAUUGGAAAUAGAACAUUUAUCCUGAUUUUGUAGGAACUAUAAAGCAUAAGUAUGGAGCCCAUACGUAUAUCUUUAAUUCAAUAAAACCUAGAUGUUGGUUUUACUUUUUUUUAAGACUCGAUAUAUGCACAUUGCUCAAAUAAUUGAAUUAAGGAUGUAGACUUUAUCAUAUAUCUGUCUAUUUUAACCAUUUUCAGAUGUCGUAUCCUGAAAAAAAAAACUUGUUUCUUUAAUGUUUGAGAAUAAACUCUUUAUUUUCAAUAACACUACAACAGAAUAUCUUUUUCAUUGACAUUUGCUUGGAUAAAUGGUUUUCCAUAUUUCUAUAAAAGAUAAAUCCCUACCAAAUCACACUAGAUGCUAAUUAUUGAUCAAGUAUAUAUGUGCUUCGCAUUACAAUUAUAAAAAAAUACCUUUCUAAUUGAUUGUGCGAUAUUAAUUUUUGUCAAGAGUGCUUUUAACUUAUGCUCAUAGAAAACCAAACAUAGACUAUGUUAGAAAUCUGGGUGUGAUAAUCCUGGANNNNNNNNNNNNNNNNNNNNNNNNNNNNNNNNNNNNNNNNNNNNNNNNNNNNNNNNNNNNNNNNNNNNNNNNNNNNNNNNNNNNNNNNNNNNNNNNNNNNNNNNNNNNNNNNNNNNNNNNNNNNNNNNNNNNNNNNNNNNNNNNNNNNNNNNNNNNNNNNNNNNNNNNNNNNNNNNNNNNNNNNNNNNNNNNNNNNNNNNNNNNNNNNNNNNNNNNNNNNNNNNNNNNNNNNNNNNNNNNNNNNNNNNNNNNNNNNNNNNNNNNNNNNNNNNNNNNNNNNNNNNNNNNNNNNNNNNNNNNNNNNNNNNNNNNNNNNNNNNNNNNNNNNNNNNNNNNNNNNNNNNNNNNNNNNNNNNNNNNNNNNNNNNNNNNNNNNNNNNNNNNNNNNNNNNNNNNNNNNNNNNNNNNNNNNNNNNNNNNNNNNNNNNNNNNNNNNNNNNNNNNNNNNNNNNNNNNNNNNNNNNNNNNNNNNNNNNNNNNNNNNNNNNNNNNNNNNNNNNNNNNNNNNNNNNNNNNNNNNNNNNNNNNNNNNNNNNNNNNNNNNNNNNNNNNNNNNNNNNNNNNNNNNNNNNNNNNNNNNNNNNNNNNNNNNNNNNNNNNNNNNNNNNNNNNNNNNNNNNNNNNNNNNNNNNNNNNNNNNNNNNNNNNNNNNNNNNNNNNNNNNNNNNNNNNNNNNNNNNNNNNNNNNNNNNNNNNNNNNNNNNNNNNNNNNNNNNNNNNNNNNNNNNNNNNNNNNNNNNNNNNNNNNNNNNNNNNNNNNNNNNNNNNNNNNNNNNNNNNNNNNNNNNNNNNNNNNNNNNNNNNNNNNNNNNNNNNNNNNNNNNNNNNNNNNNNNNNNNNNNNNNNNNNNNNNNNNNNNNNNNNNNNNNNNNNNNNNNNNNNNNNNNNNNNNNNNNNNNNNNNNNNNNNNNNNNNNNNNNNNNNNNNNNNNNNNNNNNNNNNNNNNNNNNNNNNNNNNNNNNNNNNNNNNNNNNNNNNNNNNNNNNNNNNNNNNNNNNNNAUCGUAUCAGAGGGAACCUGAAUUACAGAUUCAUGUUAUUUCAUCUACUGAUUUAUUCUUCCACUUUAGUAUUGCUAUUCAUUUUUGGCUUUAUUUAACCAAAGAAUGGACAUUGACUAAUUUGAAAAUGUGGAAAUUCUGUAAUCAUAUAUAGUUGAACAUAGUCCUAAUUCCUGAUAUACUUCAUCAUCUUAUGGGUGCCAAGUGCCAACAUUUACAAAAUUCUGGCCAUAUCCAAGACAGAAUUUUAUCUUUACAAGUCCUGAUAUGCUUGUUUACUCUCAGUUCGUAUCUGUGCAUCUUAUACCUGUCUUCAUUUUAUUUGUGGCACAGGUUAUGUCUAUCAUUUCUGUGCUUUCAUUAAGAUCCCCAGAAAAUGCAGCUCGUGCCAUUGAAGCUGGUGCUGGUGACCUUGCUAUUCAAGCCAUGGAGAAAUUUCCUGCAGCACACCAAAUGCAAAGAAGCUCCUGUCUUAUGAUCAGAAACCUAGUAGUCAGAAAUCCAGAGAACAGGCAAGUUUAUAAUUUGUGAUAUUCCUAAUGUAAGACGUUUAAUUAUACAGCGCCAGGCGUUCUUUUCUGUUUAUCUCCCCCUUCUUUUAUAUUUUUCCAAUCCUUGCCUUCAAGCAUAUUAUACAAGGGAAUGUAGCUCAGCUAGAGAUAGAAGAUUAUGGAUUUGGCUCCUCUAGAGUGAGUGGCUUUAAAGGGUAAAGUAGGUCACCGGUCAUCACAACAAUUGAUUGAGAAAUCAACGGUUGAGACUGUAUCAUAUACUUGCACAUGUAUAACAAGUUAUGUUGCUCUAAAAAUUUCAACUGUCAAUUUUCAAUUAACAGUUGUGACGAUUUACUCUACUCUUGAAAGCAGUUCCUUCACUUUAGAGGAGUUAAAUUCAAAGGUUGUCAAUCCUAUUACCUCUUGAUCAUUGCUCACUUGCACACUUUCUAUUGGACAGAACUAUAUUGCUUAAAAAUGGAAUUGAGAAAUACAUAAGGAAGGCAAAGCAAACACAUGGAAACUGUAAGGAUGCUGCUACAGAUGCACUGAGGGAUUUGGGGCUUGAUAAUUACAACUUGUAGCUGAUAAUUUUUUACCUCUUGUUUUUCAAUGUAACAGUACCGAUAUUCUUUUGCUUCUGAAGAAAAUAUGAGUAUGAGUCUAUGACUUCAUGUUCUUAUCAUUCUCAUUCUCUACUAGAUAUUGUAUGUGCGGAAUUCAUUGUACAAAACUGAGGAUGAAAUCUUAUUCCCUUAUCUGUCAUAUAUCUGUGUGUGAUAUCCAAUAAUUAAGAUGAAUAUUAUUUAUUAGAUGUAAAUCAUAAGCAAUGCGAUCACUUAUCACAGUAAUAACAAAUAUGAUUGAGUUUGUAUAUCACCAAUUGGAUUGUCAGCAACUCGAAAUACUUUUAUUGGUGUCUUCCAUUGUUGCAAAGGAUUAUCCACAGUUUUCAUUCAAAUAAUUAAACGUGGACUGUCAUCACCACCAGAAACUGAGGGCAACCAAAGCGCUCUUCUCUCCUUCAACCGCCAGGUCUUCCCACACUCACAAAUUCCGAUGUUGAAUCCGCAGGACCCAACAACCGCCACAUGGAUAGUGAUCAAAUGGAGAAGGCCAUGAAUCACUCUCUCAGUGCUUGUAGAGGCAUUCUCUUAGCCCCUCUGCAAAUUCAGCAUACAUCAAUUAAGUCUUGAUUCAUAGAAUUGAGAAGUUUCAAACGUAGAACAAAUCCUGCUGCUACGUUCCUGUAUAGAAUUCAUAAAUGGGUUGGGUUCCUACCUUCAAUUUCUCCCAUUGGAAGGUGGGGCUUCAGGUUUUGGCUCUUUAAUGGUGAAUUGGUGAUGAUGAGAUGUAGUUUCAAAAGGAGAAACAGUGUGCGGUGGUAGCUAUCUUGUCUUGAGUGUGGCUCUGUAUGAAUGAGAAUCCAUGGUAGUGGUAAGGGACAGUAAAAAUGAAGGUUAGUGGUAAUGAUGUGGAAAGAUAGUCCAUGUGUAAUAUUUUGGUUGGAUAACAGGACCAACAGUACUUAUGGUACUGCAAUGCUACAAUAAUUAAACGGCGAGAAAGAACAAUCAAGAUCAUUCAAAGCAAUGCCACAACCAUGUUGAAAAUAAAAUACAUAUUAUGCCGAAUAACAGUUACAGAUUAACUACAAAAUACAGCAAAAUCUUUACUCUCUAGUUCUCUGUGCAUUAGAAAUUAGCAAUAUACAACUAGGACAUUUCAGAGGAAGGUUACCACAAUAUUCAAGUCCUUUCAUUUUGCAGCCAUCGCAGUUACUUCAGCGAUAAGAAUCACGAGAAGUACAAAAUUCAAACAUGUUCUGGCCACAAAAGCCACUUCUCCAAACCAUCAUCAUUUAUGAAAUUUGGAAAUCUUGAUCAUUGGGCAUGCAAACGCCUAAUAAAGCAUAAUGCAGUACCACCUUCUUCAUUCGUAUGAAUCGCUAUUGAAGUUAAUGUUGUCUUGACUUUCCACUGAAUCCUGCUCCAGCAUCUUAUCACGUGUCUCUGGAAAGUAUUUUACGUCUUCUAAAACAUAUGGCUCAACCAAUUUCCAGAACCAAGUUGAAUUGCUUCCGAGAAUACCAAUCCAAAAUACCUUUCCUUUCCUCUUUACUUUACAAUCCAUGGACAUUGCUUUGAACUUUUUGACAAUGCUCAGAACACCCUCACGACUUCCCUUUAUCUUUAGUAAAAUAUCACCGGACGAACUUCGUCGACCCCCAUACAUGUACCAGUAUGCAAGAACACACGGUGACAGCCACCUAUGGACUAGUUUUGGAAUUGUAGGUUGACCUUCUGACCAAAACUGUUCUGCAUAAAAGCCAAAAUGAGAGCUUGCAAUGGUGCAAAACUUAGCUGGUAUGUCCUCACUGUCAUCACUUGGCUUACAAGUAGGAUGCAGCCACUCAUAAAACUGGCGAUGUAAAUGACUCUUCAGGACAUGAUGACUGAUGGAAUCGCUAUCAAAAUUAAAACAGAUAACGUGAUUCUUCCUUUGGUCAUCAGAAUCAAUCUGCAGGCCACCUAAAAGCAAUCCAAUUAAGAUUUCCCUCUGUUCUUUGCUUAGCUUGAGGCUCACAGGCUUUUUAAUAAAUUUUCUUCUCAAGCUCAAGAUAUAGUCAAGCUUCUCCAUCAAUGAGGUUUCAAUUUCAUACUUCUUUAGGCACAUAAAGUCAUAGAUCUUCUCCGCCUUUAAGUGAUUGUCCGAGGACAAGUAUCCUCUUAAGAUUGCGUUACACGAUCGAGCAUUGACACCAAUAGUCACAUCCCGAUUCAUUUGGUAAAAGAUAUCCUCUGCUUUGUCAAGAUUACCAACUUUUACCAAAGAAUCCAAAUAUAUAUUGUAGAGAGUACAAUUAGGACGACAUUUCUCCAGGCACUGGGAGAAUGUCUCUUCCAAUUUAUCAUGUAAUUCCAAAUUGGAGUACAUGUUUAGUAAAUCAAUGUAUGAUGGUGUAAGGGGUUUCAGGCCACUCUUGACAAAAUCUGUCAUGAUUGAUUCUGCAAACUCUGAUUCUUGUGCUUUGCAUAGUAUCUCUAUUAUUUUACUAUAGGCUGCAACACUUAUUUUACCUAGUUUCAAUUGCAUUUCCCUAAAUAUCUCCAAGGACUUCAUAGGCAUGCCAACUUUUGAGUAGACUUCCAUUUUAUACACAAAAGCUUGCGAUGGGGGAUUACUUUCAAAAGGAAGAAGUUUGGACCAAGUUUUCUCUGCUUCCUCCACCUCACACUCCCUUGCACAAGCCCUCAAGAUCGAUACCAGCACCUCUUUGCCCUCCUUAAUUCCAGCACGUAACAUCUCUUGCCGCAAUGCUGCUAUCCGUUCUUUAUCUAUGGAGUCCUGAUAGCUAUGCAGCCAAAUUAGACCCCCGUAAAUAUCCUUAUGCACAUCAAGUCCAGAAGUAACCAAUUGAUGAUAUAUAAACUCAGCUUGCUUAAGGUAAUCCUUUGAAGAGACCCCUGGUUUGCUUACAAGAGCUUUGAAGAGGGAAUUAUGCAAGCUAAGACGGGGCUGGUAACCACCCAACUGAAUCAUACGGUUGUAAAUGCUGCAUGCUUCAUCCAAACAACCUUGAACAGGAGCACUAAGGUAAGCUACAAUCAAUAUAUGGAAAGUUGACUCGCUAGGAACACGGCCUUGAUUGAUAAUAUCAUCAAAUACCUCACGGCACUUAGAAAACUUUCGCUCUUUACCCAUGUAAUCUGCGAGCGUAGUGGCAAGAGCAAAAUCAAAUUGAUACCAACUUCGUUGCAUCAUCCACUUGUAUACCUUUACGAGGGCAAAAAAUAAAUAAAUUAGUAAUUGAUUUCCAGCUAAUGGUAAUAUUUUGCAAAAUGUUCUGCUUAUGUGAUCAAAUAAAUGAAUAAUCAAUGCCAAAUACCCAUUCCAAAAGUAGGAGAAAAGCAGAAUAAAAAACCAAUUCCCGGGAAGAACUGAUCUGAUAGAACAUUUAAAGGUAAACAAAAUGAUCAAUAAUGACGCAAGACUAGCAACAGGGAAGUUCUAUACCAUUUACUAUCCCACACCCAAAUAUAUACCACACUCAAAAGUUGACUAUUUUUAAAGUUCGAUACACUUAAAUUUGAUCAUUUUAAAAGUUGAUCAUUUAUCUCCAAGGGAAAGUUCUAUACCUUUCGCUGAAUCUAUAAUCCACAAGCUUUAUACCAGAAAACUAUAACUAACGUUUAGUAUCACAGCUUUGGAACUUUGCUAAAACACCAAUUUCAUGAAUAUCCAAAACAACACUGUCAAUACAUGAUAACUUACAAGACUCACCACAGGCUUCCCUUCUUCCAUAAGCAUUAAACCAAUAUCACAUGCAAAUAAAAUAGCAUUUUCCACAAUUCCUCCCAUAGUUGAAUUGAAGCCUAUGGUUCUCAUCAAUCUCCACAUGCAAAAUCAUCUUUAAAAUGUUACAAAAAAAUACACAAAAACAAAAGCAUGGUUUAAUUACACAAAAACAAAAGAUUAGUUAAUCCAGUUAGAGAGUUUAUCUGUUAGCAUGUGCAGUCGUCUCAUCUUAGCUUAGUUACUCCAGUUUCAUAGUAUAAAUAAAUGGUGUAUCACUUAUCCAACACAUGAUAAUAAGAUGAAACCUCAAUUACUUUCUCUCAAGAUAUCAUUCUCUUCCUCCCUCUCUCUAUCCACUCUGAUACCUUAUAGUACAGAAACAAUACGCAUGAAUUAGUAAGAACCAAACAACUUGACUAGCAGUUUAACUUCCAAUGAAUUCUCACCUCUACCUUCAUAGUCUUGUUCAUUUAUUUAUCAAUUGGUUCAUUUUUUUCGAGCACAAAUUUUCGCAUAUUACAGCUCUACUGGAAUCUAAAUUAUUAAAGAUUAUAGUUUGCAAACUUCAAAAGUGCACUUAAGAGUGGUUUCUUUUAGGUAAAUAACUUAAUCAUGCACUUAUACCAGAUAAUUCGAAAACUUCACUGGAAUAAGUUCAAAAACUCUACUAAAAGUUCAUGAAUAUAAGCUAAAAAAAGCUUAUAAAUAAGUCAUAAGUUAUUUUCAUACUCUAUAUUAAAAGUUCAUGAAUAUAAGCUCAAAAAAGCUUAUAAAUAAGCCAUACGUUAUUUUCAUACUCUAUAUAAAAAGUUCAUGAAUAUAACCUCAAAAGGUUAUUUUCACAUAAGCCCUUAUUCAUAAACAAAUUUGAAAAGCUUAUCGAAAUAAGCUCAAAUUAGUUUAUAGGUAGAUAUAAGUGUUUAUUCAUAAGUUAAUAUGAACCGCUUGUAAAAUUAAGCUUAAAACAACUUAUUGGUAGGCCAUUAAACUUAUCCAAAUACUAGCAUAGAAAUCGCUUAAACUACAAGUUAAGCUCUUAUAAAAGCACAAGUGUUCAUAGUUUUUUCAUAAGCUUAUCCUUAUCCAAACACAUGCAUUGCAUUGAGAGUUUGAGACCCUUUAUCUAAGUGUUUAUUCUAUAAGAUAAACUCCUAAAGUUUACAAAUGAUAAAAGCGAAGAAGAAUCACUACACUAAACUACACUUACCCUAAACGCAGUCUCAUUCUCCCGAAUCCGCAAGCAAUGCAUCACGACAUAGGUGGUGUCUCCUUGCCUCAUCCACUUCUUCUGCGCGUUCAGUAUCCUGAUCAGAGUCCCCGCCUUGUGCACCGGCAGCUCCUUGCAUAGCCACGCCACCCCCGACACCCCCCCCCCAGCCCCGCCCCCCCACCCAUCCCCCCCCCCCGAAAUCGAAAACCUCGUACUCCGGCAGCUCCUCCUCCUCCUCCUGCAGAACAGCCGGCUGCUCCGCGCUGCUGACGGAGAGACGCGGGAACUGGCGGAUAGUGACGGUGGAACGAAUGGGAUGAAAGAAUUUAGGGUUUGAGAGUGUGUUGCGAGAAAGAGGAGGGAGUUGAAAUGGAAGAAGAAGCUCUUGGCCUGUGAGUCUCACCACCAUGUUCUCUCUAUGUAAUAAUUGGAGGAGAUACUUGGGCUUUAUUGACCCCAAAAAUAACAUCCUCUUCAAGAGGUUUUACUGACGUUUUCUUUGUUGGCUUUGUGGUUAUGGUUGAACAAAAUGGUGAUGGAGAGAUAUAAAAAUACACUUCAAAUGGUAAAAUAGGAAAAUAAAAAAUAUGUUUGAAAUUUUUUAACAAUAUUAUUGUGUUUUUUAAUAUGUUUGUUAAUUUUCUGUGUGAACUGUUAUUUUGAAACGAUUGAAGUACUAUUUCCGUUGCAGAAAGUUUGUUGUUUUGUACCUUCUUUUAGGGCUCGUUUGGUACAUCGUAUUAGGCAUGAUAGUAUAAGCUUAUACAUCAAUCUCUUCUUUCGAAAAUGUUUGUUGUUUUAGAAAUCCAAUGCAUUUUUUGCUUAAUUUUUCCACAUACAGUAGAAACUCUUUAAAUUAAUACUCGGUAAAUUAAUAAACUCUCUAAAAUAAUAAAUUUGUCCAGUCCCGACUUAGGUCAAUGUAAAAAAUUGAAAAACUCGAUAAAAUAAUAAGAUAAUAAUUUUCGGUCCCAAGAAAAUCAUAAAUUAAUAAUUCAUAGAAACUGGAAAAAUAUAUUACACUCAAUUGAAAUAUGAUUCAAUAGUUGUCUGUUUUCCUUUAAAGUUCAAGUAUAUUUGGAGCUGUAACACCCCACUUUUCGUUAUUAUAUUAUUUAUUAUUUAGUUUAAUUAUUAUUAUGCUAUAUGGUAACCGUUUCCAAUGUCGAUUUCUCCGCACGGCCUUUUAGGGUUUUCGCUGAAUCGAAAACCGUCGUGGCUGAUUCCAUCAUCGUCGCCACUGGAGCUGUUGCGAAGAGAUUGCCGUUCACAGGCUCCGGUGAUGGUCCUGAUGGCUACUGGAACCGCGGGAUAUCGGCUUGCGCUGUGUGUGAUGGUGCGGCCCCCAUCUUCAGGAACAAGCCGCUGGCGGUGAUCGGUGGUGGGGACUCUGCCAUGGAGGAAGCGAAUUUCCUCACCAAGUAUGGUUCUGAGGUGUAUAUAAUCCACCGGAGGGACUCGUUCAGGGCCUCGAAGAUUAUGCAGAGCAAGGCGUUGAGCAAUAGCAAGAUCAAGGUGAUAUGGAACUCGGCUGUGGUCGAGGCGUAUGGGGAGGGAGAUAGCAAGAGGGUUCUUGGUGGGCUGAAGGUGAAGAAUUUGGUGACUGAAGAGGUUUCUGAUUUGAAGGUCAAUGGUUUAUUCUUUGCAAUUGGGCACGAGCCUGCCACUAAGUUCUUGGAUGGUCAGCUAGAACUGGAUUCUGAUGGCUACGUUGUGACAAAGCCAGGGACCACAAAGACUAGUGUUGAAGGAGUGUUUGCUGCUGGGGAUGUUCAGGACAAGAAAUAUAGGCAAGCUAUUACAGCUGCUGGCACUGGUAAUCUCGCGACCUUAUCUCAUCAUUGUUACUUUAUAGAUUUACCUAAAUUAGAUACAACUAUAUAAGUGUUCAUUGGUGUUUAUCUGUGCGUUUGUGAUCCUGGAUUUGAAACAUUGAAACAUAGCCAUGUUUGUGUUUCAAUUAUAUUUGGUACUAUCCAUAUUGUUGAUUAUCAUCUUACAGUAUUGGUGAUAGCCCAUUAUUUGAUUGAUUGACCGCCGGUAAGACAAGCUGACUGACUUUUUCUCAAAAUAGAUUGGGAAUGGGAUUGAUUCCAGAGAGAAUAUAGUUGUAUGACAUUGUAUUGGUGAACAAACCUUCACCUUCACAGUCUAUUUGGUAUAGACAAUACUGAACAGGUCGUGUGAUUAGUUACGGGUUCAUCGAAGGUGGUGUAUUUUUUGGUAUAUAUGAUUGUCAUUGUAGUGUAAUGGUCUGAAUGCCCUGUUUUUUGGUAUAUAUGAUUGGUAUAUAUUAGGAUGAUUAAUAUUGAGGAUGCUUUUUUCUUUUGCUGGGAUUUGGUUUACUUUAAUAAAUCAUUGCAUUCUAAGAAAGACAGAAAUUGUAACUUAUUCCGGAUUUUUAUGACUAUAAUUCAAGAUACUGUAGAUGUAAGAUAGUUCUAAUGAAUUAAGUGCUAACCUUCUUAUCAUUCAUCAACUCUAUGUAAUUAUAUUUUUAUCUCGCAUAGUUUCUUUCAGAACUCCUAGUCUAUUAAUCUAUGCCUUUUCUAUUUUUAUUUGUGAUUGCUCAGUUAGUCCUUGGGUUAGAUUAGAUUACAGAGGUAAAAUUAAUCAGAGAAAGAGUUAAUGUUCUUUGACAUUAACUUCUAAACAUUUGAUGCUCGAAUUGGAUUAUUUUCUAGUAUUAUGUGCUACUCCACUGAUUGAUUGCUUCCAAUUACAACAUCAAUACUUUCAGCCAUCAUCAAAGAUGGGUGUCCCAUUCUGUUAGGAACUUCUGUACCAUGACCGAGCAAGUUUGAUAUUUUCAUUUUCGAAUGAAUUUGGCUCAUUGCAUUAUACUCUGAUAAAAUCCAAGACCAAGAAGCGCAGAAAAUGAGCAUAUGAAAGGAAAACUGCUUUAUUUUUGGAACAUAAGAGUUAAACUCCUUACAAGCACAGAUAAUAGGCUCUGAGUACACUAAGAAAAUAGUAGGAUUGUAAAAAAAGGAAGACAAAAGCUAGAUGGUACUCUGCAGAAUCAGAUGUGUUCUUUCAUCCUAAAACACCUCUUCCUCUUCAUACUUUCCUCUCUCAAUUCUUGGCAAUCCCCUACUCAUUCACACCCACUAUAAAAUCCCAUGUGACUACAAAGGAUGAUCUGGCCCACCUGCCCCCCCCCCCCCGAUCUCCUUCUGAUAGGAACCUGUACCCCAUAGAUAUUGUUAGUCAAGUGAUGUUAGAUAAGUGAGUUAUUUAGGGAGUAGAGGAGGGGGUACUAUAUAUAAGGGAGAAUUAAGAGGGAUUGAGUAUCCUUGGGAUUAUUUGGGAAUUGGGACUAAGGAGAGCUAGUUAGAUGAGUCUCUCUAAUAUUCAUCUGUUUCUUGUAACCUGCUCUUAUUUCCUAAUUGGGAAUUAGAGUUCUUACCGAAUAAUAACAGUUUCUUCGUCUUGGCUGACUUCUAUCACCUUCAUUCUCUUGGUGUGGAUCUGUUCUUGGUCCUAACUCCUAUCAAUAUCACCACCAAUAAGACUCUCCUGGUCCUCAAGGUGAAAUGGCAAAACUGAUUGUGAAUGGUAUCAUAGUCUUCCCAAUUAUCUUCAUGUCCCUGGGAAAUUUAUUUUCCCAAUGUAUCAAAUCUUUCUAGUCUCAUCCAAUCAAAUGUGUGUCUUAUGGCUANNNNNNNNNNNNNNNNNNNNNNNNNNNNNNNNNNNNNNNNNNNNNNNNNNNNNNNNNNNNNNNNNNNNNNNNNNNNNNNNNNNNNNNNNNNNNNNNNNNNNNNNNNNNNNNNNNNNNNNNNNNNNNNNNNNNNNNNNNNNNNNNNNNNNNNNNNNNNNNNNNNNNNNNNNNNNNNNNNNNNNNNNNNNNNNNNNNNNNNNNNNNNNNNNNNNNNNNNNNNNNNNNNNNNNNNNNNNNNNNNNNNNNNNNNNNNNNNNNNNNNNNNNNNNNNNNNNNNNNNNNNNNNNNNNNNNNNNNNNNNNNNNNNNNNNNNNNNNNNNNNNNNNNNNNNNNNNNNNNNNNNNNNNNNNNNNNNNNNNNNNNNNNNNNNNNNNNNNNNNNNNNNNNNNNNNNNNNNNNNNNNNNNNNNNNNNNNNNNNNNNNNNNNNNNNNNNNNNNNNNNNNNNNNNNNNNNNNNNNNNNNNNNNNNNNNNNNNNNNNNNNNNNNNNNNNNNNNNNNNNNNNNNNNNNNNNNNNNNNNNNNNNNNNNNNNNNNNNNNNNNNNNNNNNNNNNNNNNNNNNNNNNNNNNNNNNNNNNNNNNNNNNNNNNNNNNNNNNNNNNNNNNNNNNNNNNNNNNNNNNNNNNNNNNNNNNNNNNNNNNNNNNNNNNNNNNNNNNNNNNNNNNNNNNNNNNNNNNNNNNNNNNNNNNNNNNNNNNNNNNNNNNNNNNNNNNNNNNNNNNNNNNNNNNNNNNNNNNNNNNNNNNNNNNNNNNNNNNNNNNNNNNNNNNNNNNNNNNNNNNNNNNNNNNNNNNNNNNNNNNNNNNNNNNNNNNNNNNNNNNNNNNNNNNNNNNNNNNNNNNNNNNNNNNNNNNNNNNNNNNNNNNNNNNNNNNNNNNNNNNNNNNNNNNNNNNNNNNNNNNNNNNNNNNNNNNNNNNNNNNNNNNNNNNNNNNNNNNNNNNNNNNNNNNNNNNNNNNNNNNNNNNNNNNNNNNNNNNNNNNNNNNNNNNNNNNNNNNNNNUGGUUCAGUUGACGACCUCAAUGUGACUAUCCAUUUCAGGAUGAUGCGCUGAACUAAAUUCCAAUCUAGUCUCGGUUAACUUCAAAAAUUCUCCUCAGAAUUAACGCAAAAAUUCUGUUGUGGUCAGAAUUCAGAAAUUAUUGAUGUACGAUAUUCAUGUGAUCUUACCACUUCUUUAACAAAGAGUCAAAGGCUAUUGUUUGCAUCUGUAGCUGAAUAAGGUUGGGACUGGGAUGCCAGGACUAGGGGGUGAAGUGGCAAUAUUUCAACAACCUACCCUUCACCACCAUCGAGGUAUCCUGCCGCUUGACUGUUAAAAUACAUUAGAUCUCUUCCUAAACUUGCUUAAGAAAGAUUGGCUGCAGACCUACAGUAUCCUUGCUGGAUGCAAUCAUUGAUGGAUGUUUUGUUUGCAUAUGUUACAUUUUACCGCAAUCUUGCCCGUCUCUUUUCAUUUGUUCCAAUAUAGAACCAUGGUAUCCUCCCGUAAAUUCUUUCUGUACUCUAGUGUCCACCCUACUGAGAUGAGUGAAAUUCAGCCAAUAGCAGAGCAAUUUUAUCAAACUUGUGGAGAAAUAACAGUCUUUCCUUGAUGCUGGAUCAACUAACAUGUCUGGAAUGAUUUUCUUGGUAUUAUAAUCAUUCAGUACUUCUAAUAAAAUCUGUAAGUCUGGACUGGUAGGUUCUACUAGUUCUUUGUUAUUCGUUGCUCUAGAGAGUGCAUCAGCAGCUCAAUUCUCCCUCCCAUGUUUGUUUUGGGUUUCAAAAACAAAACCUAACAUCUUGGUGUCCUUCUUUUGCUCGCCUUCAAUCAUCAAUCUCUGCUUCAUUAAAAACAUUAAGAUUUUUAUCAGCUCUGAUAAUGUAGUGCCCAUCUAGGAAGAAUUUGUCCAUUUCUGGACUGAAUUCUUAAUUUUGUGUUUUUGACAUCAACUCAUGCUCGUAAACCAACUUCAUCUCAGAUUUUGAAACAUGGCUCUGCUAAUAAAAGCCAAAGGUUUUCCUGAUUGCAUUAGUUCAGCCCCAGUUAGGAUGGCAAUAGGCAGGGUCCGCGCUUUUUUUAAAUAUCAGUAGCCAUACCCAGGUACUAUAAUAUUAGUACUCAUACUUGCACCCAUACCGAUUGAUUUUUAUGAGUAUUUAUCUGCCCCAUAUCCAUUUAGAGGGUAUUUACUCUACUCACGAAGAACAUUUUUUACAGUACCUAUCAGGUCUGAGUCAGCCCCGAAACUGGGAUAGUGGGAUCCCGGAAAGCGGGAUGGUCGGGAUAGUGAAUUUUUGUCUAUAUUUUGUAUAAUAUACAUACACACACACACACACACACAUACUAAAUCAAUGAUAAGUAUUACUUGAAAUUCAUGACAGAUGCAUACUUUCAUAGUAGCAAACUAGCAAUUAAAGUCGUAGUAGGCCUUGAACAAAAAGUCAUUCAACUAAACACCAAAAUGAAGUGAACAAAACAUGGAAGAGAUACAACCAAACAGAGUAGAGGAAAUAAGAAUACAGGACAGGGCAGAGUAAAUAAAACAUGACAGAGGAGAGAACAGUGGAGACCUACCUUACAAGAAGCUGCCGGAGUCUCGCGGCAGUCGUCUGCCGACCUGGUGCUUCAGAGAGCAGCACUAAUGAGAGGGAAGAAGAGAGGGAAUGGGUCGAGUGAGAGGGACUGGGUCGAGUGAGGGGAAAGGCUCGAGUGAGUCUGGUCGUCUACCCUAGUUUUUUUAUUUUAUUUUUUCCUUUGUACCCUUAGUUCCCCUUAGUCUGGAUUUGCUAUUCUACCCUUCAAAUUUGUUCCUGAGUGGCUCAGAUUUUCUGGAAAUUUCAUUAGGUGUCUAAGAUGGACAUAUCACCUCAUGCCUUAUGGCCUCUCCUUCCAUCUUGGGGCGUUAGCCUAGAACCCCAUCGCAACUUAAUUGCUGAGGCGACUGAGCCCACUUUAGAUUCCAGUUAACAUUAAUUGAAUGCCUUGUCCCGUAUAAAGAAGGCUUACCCAAUCCUAAUCCUAAUCCUGUCCUAACAUAAUGAAGAUACUCCUAUUUAUAAUAAACUAACCCUACUAAGGAAAUAACACUGGUCCAACAUAGGCCUAAUUCAAAUAAUAAAAACACAGGGCCAUGAACUCACUAACAGCAACAGAUAACACUUAACACAUGGUCACCCAGACUCAAACACCCCAGGCCCAUUCUUUUGGAUCCUAACGGAGAGUAUUUACUUCUCAUAUCUGCGCAAUUCCAUGUUCUCCAAAUUUUUCACGUCAUUUGUAUUUGGUUCUCAUGUUUACCUUUUUUGCCUAUGUUGUCAUCACUACUUUGUGGGAUGAAUUUUGAAAAGAUUAUAAUUACAUGCAUCAUAUUUGAUGAGAGUUGGCUGUAUUUUGAAAUUAGCAAAAUCUGAUGUCCUUGAUCUGCUGAUGACCUUUGGUUACUGAUGAUGUAACUUCAUCCAUUAGAUUUAGAACAUUGUAUAGAUGAUAAUACAUGUUGAAAGCACUAAAUCCUUGUUUAUGUGGAAAUAUUCAAGUUGAGCUUUUCUGUACUUACUGUUAUUGAAGUGAAAGUAAUAGGAAUAUAUAUUGAUUCAGUUAAAGAGGACAGAUUUUAGGCUUUGGGAAUUGCCAAAUUUUAGUGCUGUGCUGUCUUUGGCUGGGAUCGUUAUGGUCUGUCAUUGCACUAAAAGUUUCUAAACCAAUAUGCUUCAGAUUUUAUUUUUAUUUUUAACAACAAUGGAAGUUGUGUUGUUGGUGCAGGGUGCAUGGCAGCUCUGGAUGCAGAACAUUUCCUGCAAGGGAUUGGUUUACAACAGGAUAAGAGUGAUUGACUAGCAAUGGAAUGUCCUGAGUCCAAACAAUGCUUAAUUAGAAGCAAAGUUUAAUUGAUUAGAGGCAGCACUCACUGUACUCUGGUAUAAACUUUAUUUGUUUACUGGUGUUGAAAAUUUGAUUGCAGCGGUAGACUUGCAUUAUUUCAGAAACGUUGAAUCUUACAUUCAAUCGACACCACACGUACAUGUAUCAUGAUUUAUUGGGUUUAUGGUAUGUUUUGGUUAUUGUGAUGAUGCAAAGUGUUUGUUUGCAUGUGUUUGUAAAGUGAUAUGCUGUAAUGCAUUCAUGUUUUAUAGUGCAAGUGUAAACUAUUCUUCCAUGCCUAAAAUAACAACUCACAUUUCCCAUGUUUAGAUAGGUUUUUGUUUCCCAAAAUUUUCAUUUUUUUUAUAAGUGAUUCUUUCUAGUUUUUAAAGAGCAUUAUAUUCUUUCUGCAGUAUUUAUCUUUUUCUUAAAUUUUUUUUAUUAAAACUAUCGUAAAAUUCAUCAAACAUUCUUAAUUAAGAGCACUGUUAUCAAAUAGCGGCCAUAGCGAAUUUUUGGCUAAUCGCGACGCUGCUAUUGCCCAUUAUAACGCGCUAUUUCCGCUAUUCGCCACUAAAUAGCGGAUUUUUGGCUCACCGUGAUGGUCCGUGAUUGUGAUUUGACAACACUGAUUAAGAGUAUUUGUUUAAAAGUGUAAAUAAAUGAAUCAUCAAUUCUUUGAAAGUGCAAAUAAACGAAUCAUGAAUUCCUGUGGAUAAACACUUCCUAGUUGGUAAUGUGUAGUACUUUUCUAAACCGAAUGAAUUUAUUGCAAUAUUUGUGAGACAACCGCAGCUUGUCACUAACUACUGGAUAUCAUAUCGUCAUGAAAACCUGAAAAUUAGGUUGAUGUUAACUCUACCUCUUUGCAUCGUAUUGAGCUCAUUUAUUUCCUCAUCCUCUUGGAAUUUUGAGUUGAGACACAUGUCUAGGAAACUAUUGAAGGAAAUAAUGAGCCGCUAGCAAGAACAUGCAAGCUCGAUAACACCUUAUCCUCAACCAAAAUUUAUUUGUCAAUAUGUCGCAAUCAAUGAUUUAUUUGUCAAAGUGAUUAAAUGGUUGUAGCACUGAACAACAGAUGAUCCAUUCAAAUAAUAGUACAUAGUUUAGGUCAUGAUUUUAAGACUUGUGUAUAAAAAAGCUCCGUCAAAAGAGAUAGUCCUCCUACCUUAAAACUUGAAUUGUUACCUUGAAACUUGAAUGUAACGUAUGUAGAAUCAUGUAUUAAUUCAUUCCACAAGUCAAAAGCUAAUUCAUUAGCUGAAGUGAUGUUUUGUUUGUUUCUAGUGUCUAACAUUUAUGCAGAACACGCUCCCCAGCUGUUAAACUAAAAACACAAAAAAUGCUAAAAAAUGUUACAAGAGGAAGAGUUCUAAACAAAUAACUCAACGAAGAAUAUCAAAUCAUAAAAACUCGAUGAUCGCAAAAGNNNNNNNNNNNNNNNNNNNNNNNNNNNNNNNNNNNNNNNNNNNNNNNNNNNNNNNNNNNNNNNNNNNNNNNNNNNNNNNNNNNNNNNNNNNNNNNNNNNNNNNNNNNNNNNNNNNNNNNNNNNNNNNNNNNNNNNNNNNNNNNNNNNNNNNNNNNNNNNNNNNNNNNNNNNNNNNNNNNNNNNNNNNNNNNNNNNNNNNNNNNNNNNNNNNNNNNNNNNNNNNNNNNNNNNNNNNNNNNNNNNNNNNNNNNNNNNNNNNNNNNNNNNNNNNNNNNNNNNNNNNNNNNNNNNNNNNNNNNNNNNNNNNNNNNNNNNNNNNNNNNNNNNNNNNNNNNNNNNNNNNNNNNNNNNNNNNNNNNNNNNNNNNNNNNNNNNNNNNNNNNNNNNNNNNNNNNNNNNNNNNNNNNNNNNNNNNNNNNNNNNNNNNNNNNNNNNNNNNNNNNNNNNNNNNNNNNNNNNNNNNNNNNNNNNNNNNNNNNNNNNNNNNNNNNNNNNNNNNNNNNNNNNNNNNNNNNNNNNNNNNNNNNNNNNNNNNNNNNNACACCACACACGCUUUGGAGAUCCCUAAUGAGAAGUCUGCCUGGCCAAAAUAUCUACUGCAUUAUUUCUCUCCCGCGGCACAAACUCAACUUUAACAUUCAAAUCUCAUGUAAGCUUCCCUUUCACAAUUUUUUGUUGAAUGAUUUAUAUUGUGUGCAUAAGUUGUUAUAUGUACAUCAAUCAUUUUCUUCUUCAUAACUCCACCCCUUAUCCAACCAUAGUAUAGAGAUGAAUCAUGUAUCUCGUGCAUAAAAUUUGCAUUGUGGAUUUUACAAAACCUAGUAUGGCCUCUUGACUUUUGAGUUUACACAUGACUUUAGUUUUAUUUUGAUCUUCAUCUUAUUAUUGUGUCUCAUUAAAUGACUUAUCUUUUAUUUUUAUCUCUCACUAAGUGUAGGCGGAAAUAAGUGCAAAUCAAACAUUUUACUUUAUUUAUUAUCUUUCAAAAUAUUUCAAAUGGAUGCCAUGACAUAAAUAUCUAAAGACAUAAAAAUCAAUAUUUAUAUUCACACUUCAUUUUCUCUAUCAUCUCAUUUUCACAUGUUUCUUCUUUCUACAAUUCUACCUCUCUCAUCUUUCUUAUGAUAUCAUAUGUCAUAUCUCUCAAUUCUUUCUCUUAUCUCCUAUUUCUCUCCAUGAAGUAGUGAGCAAAACUCAUUAUUGAAAGCCAACAUGUUUACAAGUACUAUACUAUAGAAAGCUAUUAAAGUAUCAAAAGCCGUCUUAGCUCAGCUGGUAGAGCGCGUGGCUUUUAACCACGUGGUCGUGGGUUCGAUUCCCACAGACGGCGUUUUCUAUAUUUCUUCUUGUUUUUGUCCAUUCCCAUCUUAAAGAUAAUAUACUAUAUCUUCGAGUUAAGUUAACAAGAGCCGUCUUAGCUCAGCUGGUAGAGCGCGUGGCUUUUAACCACGUGGUCGUGGGUUCGAUUCCCACAGACGGCGUUUUAUUAACUUAUUCCUCGUUUUAGCAAUUCCCUCUUCACGAGGCUUGUUUUCUUUAUUUUAUUCUUUUGAAAUACACGAUUUUAGUUUGGCAACAACCAACAAAAUGUCAAGAACUCAAAUCAAUUUAUUUAAUGUUUCGAUCACAACCGUGUUCCUCGUUGCAUUUUAAUAUAAAUAAAUAGUUUUGAAUAUCCAAUAUCAACAAGACAACAACUAAAAAAAGAACUAUAAGUAUUUUUUAGACGGACAUUUAGUAUCAAGAUGCAAUGAUAUAUGUUUACACUCAACUUUCUCUAGUAUCUCAUUUUCACUUAUUUUUUCUUUUUCUCUCACAUUUUUUCCUAUCACAUAUUAUAUAUCUCAAUUUUCUUUGUUCUCCUCCGGUCACUCUCCAUGAGGUGGAAGUGGAGAGGUGCGAAGAUUUAUUAAGUAUUCAAAUUUAAUUGUGAGUAAAAUUUAAAAGGAUUUUUAUAUGGAAUUAAUUAGGGGUGUGUUGCGUUAAACAAAUGGUAGUGAGAGUUUUGUUGUUUAAAGAGACAUCACUUGUCUAGAAUAGAAUUAUCUCAAUGAAUGAUACAUGUGAUCUAAACCAAAAAAUUAAGGGUGUGUUGGUUCAAAUGAUGAGAGGGAAGGGGAUGGGAGCGGGCGAAGAGGGAAAAUGGUAAUGAUCUCUUUUUUGUUUUGUUUAGGAGGGGGCAUGAUGGAUUUUAAAACAUAUUUACUCCAUUGUCCUUACUUCAUUUGCGAAACAAAAUGAAAUAUUAUGAAACAUUUUUGUCGGACACAAUAUUUCCCCCCAAUCUCCCCCACUUAGGAAGGGAAGCAAAGUUGAGUUUGGUGGAAUUUUGUUCCCCUCCAUUCUCAUCCCAAAUUUUACUCAAAACUGAAAGUAUACCACAUUUCUCUAUUUUUAAACUUUCAUCUCACAUAUUAAGAGACCCUUCAAAUGUCAUUUAUUAUAAUAUAAUUAUACUCAAGAUAAUAAAUUAUAACUAAAUAUCUGUAAAUUUUAUUUGCACUUUCAGUCUAUAUAUCAUUUUAGUUUUUAACGGCUGUAUAAUAACCAUAGAAAAAAAAAUUAGAAACAGUCAUUUUUCACUUUAUUAUGAUAAUAUUUAUUCUCAAAAUCCCACAUCAAAUGAGAUGCGUGAUUUUCUUCUAAGUUACAAAUGAACAACAAAUAUGGAGAUUACAACACAAACUAAGUGCCACAAAAGCACAAACUAAAAUAUCACAUCUUUGAGACAUUAGCUUUAGAUGAGAUACUGACACAAAACAGAAAUGAUUGAUUUUUAGUUCUUUGAAUAACUGGAAGAAAAAAAGAGGGAUCAAACUAAGUCCUUCUCUGUACAACACCAGGCAGAAAUAUAUCUUUUCAGGGACCAGAUGAUCUGUGAAGUCUAGCUAAUUGCAUGCUGUGUCAUCACCAUCACCAAUUAAUUAUCCUUCUGAAACUAAUAUACACUUGUUGCAUCAAUUUUCUUUCAUAAUUGACCAUACAAGUUCCUUGCACCAUUUCAUGGGGCAAAGCCAGAUCAUGCAACUUUGGUGAUAUCCUUGCUAGACCUGUUGUAUUUCAUGUGGCUCUUCACAAGCUGCCCUGCUGCAAUUGCAGACAUGAGGGAGAGUUCCCCGGCGAGGACUGCGCCAGCUAUUAUAGUUGCCAGUUGCCUAGAAUUCGCACCCGGCAACUCCUUGCUGGCACCCUUCACACCAAGUAAAUUAAGACAUGCUGAUUGAGAUGCGAGCUGUGUGCCCCCACCAACUGUGCCCACCUGCUCCAUUCAAACAAUACAUGAAUCAAACUCAUAAAAAAGUGACCUUGUCAUUAUGCUAAUGUAUCAGUAUCAAAAUAUUAUUGCGAAAAGAGAGAUCUGAGGCAGGUUAGACUCAAAUAAUUUACUUUAUUAAGACACACUGGGAUAUGAAUGGCUUCUAACUAGGUAGGUGUCUCAUUUGAUUUGAAGUCCUUUUAUCAUUAAACUUACAUUAUCUUCACAUCAACUUCUCUUCCUUCAGAAUCAAUUCUGACACCCAACAACUCACAGAAGAUUGUCCUCAAAAUUAAUUUUAGCUUUAGACUCAAUUGUAGAAUCAGAUUGAGAAUAUUAUAAACAGAAAAGACAAUGGGGCAAAUAUUAAAGAGAGUGAUCAAACUGAAUCUAGCCCUGUAUUUAAGGCACUAGGAAAUAAAGGACUCUGAGGUCUAACUGGAGUCUGAGCAAACUUUGUCUGCUGGGUGUAAAUGAGAUCUGUGCUAGGGGACCAGGUCUUGCAUAUAAUGGCCAGAGUAAAUAAGAAAAGAGAGAAUAAAUCAAUAAAGUUCAGUUGAGCUUGGUCCCAAGGGAGGGACUGACUGAGCAACACAGUCUGCUUAGCUCCACAAUAAGCAUAUUCUAUACAUUGAUAAUUAAAAAAACAUGAGAUUGUAGGGGAAAGAAUAAUCUAAUAGCUAAUCAAACUACUCUCGGAUUUAAAUCUUUAAGGCACUGAAUGUUAGGUUGUCUUGCAGCCAUGGAUUUUGAUGAUGUCAGCUCUCCCUUUGACAGUAAUGUGGACAGGUUCAGAGACAGGCAAGGGACCAAAAACUGGAUCACUAUCACGUGCCUUACCAAUAACAUAGAUAGAUGAAUACAAAAAGGACUCGUCUUCAAUGGUAUUACUACUACAACUCGCAUUAACUGUCGAAUUUGUUUACCCCCAACGGAUUAUAGAGACUAUAAUGACAAUUCCACACCUAAAACAAGCAAUACCUACAUCCAUUCUGAAUUUGAGAGAUUUUAUUCUAUUUUAUUUCUUACAUGAUUAAGUGAAAAAGUAACACUGCAUAAGGUGUAAACUAGUUGACACUCAAUUCUUGAAGGUGGACAUAACAUUGUUGUUAUAGAAAAUCAGAGAUAAAUCAUGUUUAAUUUGAGACCAAAUUAAGUAAUUGUACCUCAAUGGAAGGCAUGGUGACGGAGACGUGAAGAUCUCUGCCAUCGUUAACGGCCUCCAUCAUGGUGAUGCAGUGAGAACUCUCCACAUUCUGAGCAGGAUCCUGACCCGUGGCCAAGUAGACAGCAGAAACAAUAUUGCUAGCAUGGGCAUUGAAGCCACCAAGAGCACCUGCCACGGCUGAGCCAGUAAGGUUUUUGAGCAUGUUAAGCUCAACCAAGGCCUCCACGCUGGUCUUCAACACUUUCUUCACCACCUCUUCCUUAAUUACGGCCUCGCACACCACAGACUUACCACGCCCUUCAAUCCAGUUCACAGCUGCUGCUUUCUUGUCCGAGCAGAAAUUUCCUGAUAACCAAAUUCAACAGAUUAAACACACAUGCACUAAGUGCGUGUUUGGAUUAACAAUAAAAUUUCACUUUAAACCUCCAAAUCACAAUGGAGGAGAAGCCACUGAGGCACUUAGUGAUUACAUAUUUAGAAAUACUUCUAUCUAAUUGAUAUAAAAGUCAUAAUCAAUUCAGGGAACAAGAUACCAUGACCGCAGAAUUGAUUCUAAGAAAAGAUAAGUCGAUCCAAACAUGGUACUGGAAGGAGAGAAAUUAUUCUGAAUUGCUAAAAGCUAAUUCAGACAUGCUCUAAAUUGAAUUGAAUUUAAGAUUAAAUAAGUAAUGGUAAUAUUUAUCAUUGAGUAAAUUUAAUUAAAUUGCAUCCUAAUCUUAAUCUAUGAAAAUCUAGGAUACUAUAGUUACUUGCUCACUUCAAUCUUCAAUUAUAGCAACUAGUUUGACCUACAAGUUAAAAAUGCAAAGAUGAUGUGAUGUAAAAUUUACCAGAAAUGCCAAUAACAUCCAUGUCAGGGAAGUCCUCUUGAAGGAAAGCAAGUACGUUUUGGACACCUUUGGAAACCAUGUUCAUCCCCAUGGCAUCUCCAGUGCUGCAACAGAAUCUAAUGUACAAAUUCUUGCCUACUAUUGCAGGCUUAAUACUCUGCAACUUUGCAAACCUACUUGACCUGCACAUAACAACAGACUCAGUCAACCAUUAACAACACAACACAACAACUACAACCCAUUAAGCCAACCACAAUCACCAAAAAAGCUAACAUUCAUUUGUCCAUUUCCUUCACCAAAUUCUCCAAACACAGAAAAUUCAAACACUCUUUUGUCUUUACUCUAUAGUCUUUACUCUUUACUACUAUCAUCAUAUCAUAAAUUUUUUUAAGAAUUCAAAAGGGUAUUGGAAUUGAAAAUUUACUUGUUGAAAGUGAGAGCGAGAGAAUCAAAAUUCUCAGGGUCUUCCAAGUAGAACUUCAACUGAGCAGCCCUUUUGGCGGAGCUGAACCUGACAACAGGUGCCCUGGUCAUGCCAUCACGGAGGAGCACCGCGGAAGCACCACCGGAAACGUAAAUAGCCUUGCAGCCUCUGUUGGUGCUCGCCACCAGACAACCCUCCGUGGUGGCCAUGGGGACGGUGUACUCUUUCCCGUCGAGUAACAGCGGCCCUGCCACCCCAACCGGAAUCUGAAUGAACCCAAUCGGCAUCUCACAGCACUGCCCCAAUAUCGACUCAUAAUCAAACCCUUCCACCGGUAAACCCUCCAGCGACCUCCCCACCACCCUCUCCACCGCCUCGUGACGAAUCACCGCCGCCCGCCGGCAAUCCCCGAGCUUCGUUUCCAGCGAGUACGACGGGAUUGACCCCGACACCACCUCCCGGAUAACCUCCUCGUCCUCCGAGGACAGAGUAGUUGUUGUCGCCGUCGGCGACGGAGGUGAGAGGGAUUUGCCGUUGCCGUUGGCGAUUUUGAGCGGCGGCGGGGGGAGAUUGUUGAGGCAGGGGGGGAGAUAGACGAAGGGGAACUGUUUGCGGCGGUUUCUCUCCGNNNNNNNNNNNNNNNNNNNNNNNNNNNNNNNNNNNNNNNNNNNNNNNNNNNNNNNNNNNNNNNNNNNNNNNNNNNNNNNNNNNNNNNNNNNNNNNNNNNNNNNNNNNNNNNNNNNACGGAG